rnacentral:lncRNA from 1 species
AAUUUUUUUCUUUAUAUAUUCGAAUGUUUGUUUUGGCUGUGGUUUUCAAACGAAUAUUUCAAAAACAAAACAAAAACACAGGUAUGUAUUAACGUAUUAUAAAUAUUUUUAUGGUAGGUGUUUUACAUGAUAUUUUUCAAUCGAUACGGAACAAAAAAUGUAUUUCUUUACUUUGACAACCAAAUUUUUUUAUGUACGAGUGUAGUUUUUUAUUUGUAUAUUAACGCUCUAAUUCGUUCAUCAUGUGCAUUGUCCAUAUUAUACGUAUUUCCUUGAUAUCUUUUAUGUUUUUCAUAAUUCUAAUAGUGGUCGAGUCACAGACAAAUGAUUUUAACAAUAAUAAAAAAAAAUAAACCGUUAAAAUGAAUCUAUAUAUAUAUAUAAUAAUAUAUAUAUAUAUAAUAUUAUAUAUGUACAAAUUAAAUCUUUUUAAAAUUCAAUGAGGCUAGAUGUCCGAUAAAGUUUUAUAUUAAAAGAAGAUAAAAAUAAUAUUUAAUUGAAUUUUUGGAGAAAAUUAGGUAGGGUAUGCUUAUAAACAGGGCAAGCAUUUAUAUGCUAUAAAAAAUUUUAAAAUAUACAUUUUAUUUACCACAAUAGAUAAAAAUGAAAUUUUUUUCUAUCAAACAUAUAAAUUUACUUACAUGUCAACACAAGUCGUACUAAUGAAAAAUAACUAAUGCAGCCGAUGUUCGAUAUUAUUAUCGUUUGUUAGUAUUUUUAUACUAUUUUACAAUAAUUUAUGUUGUUAAAUAAUGUGUAGGUAAUACAAUAUAAGGUUUAUGUUAGCUAAUAUUUUUGACAAAUAAAAUAAUAAAUAUAUACCAUUUUUAUUAUAAGAUUCACAAAAAUUUAAGUAUGCAAUUUUAUGGAGGGUGUUUAAAAUAUGAAAAACUAUGCAAAAACAAAUAAAAUUGUUCUGUUUUAUCGAGGAUAAACUAAAUCGUGGUAAUAUCUGACAACCAAUCAAUUUGGACUUAAGGAAAAGAAAAUAUGCAAAUGCAAAAAAUCUCUACUAAUGAACUAUUUAGACGGUCGUGGAUAGUAGAGUAUUGAGUUAUUUAUUAGUACUGUUCUUCGACCACUUAAAUUGUUAAAACAUUUACAACAGCUGCACAUGAUUUACUUAAUAAGUAUAAUCGGUAUGUAACGGAAAUUGAAAAAAAAAAAAAAUUUUAAAAUCUAAUCUGCUAUAAAUGAUUUAAAAUCGAUGUAAUAAAUAAUUGGUUACCACAAAAUUAUUAAAUAAUAUGUAUACUUGUUUUUUAAUUUGACCAAAAUGGUUAAUUUUUUUUUGUUCCAUAAUAAGUUAACCAUAACACCAACCUGUCUAACUAUCGUUACAUAACGAUUUAACUUAUACCCCUAAUGUUAAAAUUCGAAAAAUGUGGAAAUAUAAUACUGUAGUCGUGAUGUUCCUUCAGUUCAGUGCGUGUUCAAAUAAUUUAAGUGUGUCGUUGCCAUUAAAAGUAUUACGAAGUACAAUAACAAUUUGCUCGAGCAAUACCUAGUCACGCAUCAUAGUUUAUCAUCCUAAACUAUGUGUAGGCAGGUAUAUCAUAAUAUAUAUCUGAACAAAAUUCACGAAGUCUUAUAUAGAACUUAUAGAUAGGUUUCUAUCGUAAAUCACGAUUAGAUAUUUUUAAUUUUAUCCGGAAUAAUUAUUUUGCCACCUCGGAAUGGAAACAUUACAUAAAAUUAAAAAUAAUUGUCUGACCUUCUAUAAAUUGUAUUAUUUAUACUAAGGAAAAUAAAGGUCUGUAGUUUUUAUUUCAAAAUCAAAUUAGUAAAAAUUAUUGUUUGUGCAUUCCUCUUCGUAAAUUCAUAUUCACGGAAAUACUCGAAGGAUUAUAAUUGUAUUUUUAAUGAAAUUAUUUUAAUUUUUAAUUAAUAAUAAAUAUUAUUAGUAUAUAUACCAUCAAUCUAUCUUUAUAAAAUACGAUAAAUUGUAAUAUUUUAAUGAGUUGUUAAUAAGUAUAACAACAUACUGUAUUAUGUUAUCAUGAAUAACAAAAAAUUACUUCAUUUUUCAUGUUGAUUAUUUAUAUUAUAUUCAAAUAUAUAAAGAAUAAAUGUUUAAAUAAAUUUUAUAAAACAGAAAACGGGUUAUUCUAUGUAAAGAAUAAUCAAUUAAAAUUAUUGAGAUUACAAAUUAAACACAUAAAUAAAUCUAAGUAUAAAUACAUAUUUAUUUUAGAGAUCUUAAUCCUUUAGAAUAAAGAUGAUUCUAAAUUUAUAUAAUAAUGUAUUUCGUAGGUUAUAAUAUCACAAAAUCAGGUUAACUUGAAUUUUUCAAAAUAUAUGAGCGUGACACAUGAAUAACAGGAAAUAGACUGACGUUAUUAACAAAAGUGAUAUUAUAACAUACAAAAUGUAUAAUAUUGAUCACUUAAUAUUCUAUCACUAUUUUCAUACAAACUCAGCAAAAUCCAAAAAAUCAGUUUUUGAUAAUUUCAAGCAAUCAAUUUUCACAUAGAUGCAACUAUUUCUAGUAUAUUUAGAAGUAGUAGUAGUAGUAGUAGUAGUAGUAGUAGUAUUAGUAGUAGUAGGAGUAGGAGUAGUUAUACGAGUAGUAGUAAUAAUAGUUGUAGUUGUAGACUUAUUAGACGAUUAUCUUUUGUUUUUCAAAGUCGAUAUUCAUAGGGGAGUAUGGUUUCUGUGUAAAUAGAUUUAUGUAUUUUUUUUGUCUGGUCUUGGUUUCUAUAGUGUAUAAAAAUAAACUUUAAGUAUUAAAUAAUUGAAACUUGGAAUAUAUAAAAAAUAUUUUAUUGAGAUUUUUACUGUAAAAUUUGUUUACCAAAGUAACCUAUAGUAUUGCUCCAAAAUAUUUAAUAAUUAUUUGUUAAAAUAUACUUAUUGUGAUUUCUACGCUAUUGAAAAUUUAUAAAACAAUUUCAGAAUUGUAUCAACAAUACUUUUAUGAAGUUAAUAUUCAAAAUCUCCAAACUAUUUAUGGGGGUUAAAAUUAGUAUAAUUUUGUUGUUUUUAACAGUAGUUGAAUAAUUUUUUAUUUGUUGUUUUUAAAAAUAAUAUAGUAGAUACUUCCCGAGCACAAUCGAAUACAAACAAUGAAUUUAUGUCUAACGUAUAGAACGCUCUUUAACGUUACUUGUAUUAUUUAUUCUUUAGUGACGUAUAUUAUAGCCUCGUGAGAAUUUACUAAUUUAGAAUGGUGGGAUAAUGGAGUUUCCAUUGUCCUACCACUUUAAAUUAGUAAAUUCUCAUGAGGCACAUUCUAUAAUAUCUAUAUAGAUCCUAAUUCAUUGAUAAUAUCAGUGGUUUAGAAUUCUGUAUGUAAUUUAAACCUGUAGUAUAAUUUUUACGUAUAUACUAAACUUAUUUUGCUUGUGUAAGCUUAUCUACUAGAAUAUAGGAAUAUAACUUUAUUUAUAUUUUGAAUUUUUGUUCCGGAAUUGACAAUUAAAAUAUAUUUUCUAAAACCGUGAGAAACUAUUAAACCGUCGAAAAAUGUUAGGUAAUAGGUACGUAGUAAUUUUAUUUGGUACGGUAUAAAAAUGACUUUCGUUUUGGAUUUAUCGUAAUUUCGAAUUAAUAUAGGUAUAUCAACUUGUUGGAUGAUUUCACUACAAAGAGAAUGCUCUAGUGAUUUACAUAACAUCGAUUUGUGGUUAAAUUGUAUUUUACUAUUUAUAUAGAUUUUAAAAAUCCGGCUUUCGAGGUGUGGUCGAAUUCCCCCCCUGUCCACCCAUGUUCAAAUUUCAAUGACGCCGUACAAUGCAUUGCACGCAAGCACUUACUUUUAUUAUAUUUGAUAAAGGUAGAUAAUAUUUGUAUUUAUUAAAUAUGUUUGAUACCCUUAUUUAAUUUUGAAAUGAUAAAGUUUAUACUACACUGCUAAUAUUAUAUUUGAACAUAAAUGAAAUAAUUAAGUAUACUAAUUUAUCAUAAUUUAUGUAAUUUGAUCAUACUUAUUUACUCAUAUAUAUUUUAGAAAUAUUCAAUGCAAAAUAAUAAAUAACCUGACAUUUUAAUAAGUUAUACAAUAACUUUAUUGGUUUUAUUGAUAUUAUUGACUAUUGGGAUGUUCAAAGCUACUAAAAUACUCUACACCAGUAACAAAAUGGUGUAAUUAAUAUUAAAAUUAAAAUCAAUUAAUUAACUAUUAAUUAACCAUUAAUUAAAUUCACCUAUAAAAUACACCGAUUCCUGAGUUAGAAUUCAUUUGGUCUAAAAGUGUCCGAAAGUGGCAGGAAUAAGUUAUUUUAGUUAUUUUUAGCAAUUUUAUCUCUAAACGCUUGAGCGCUUUGUUAAACAAAUAAAUUUAUCAAACACAUUUUGAGUACAUUCUUUGUUCUUUAUUCUUAUUUCUGUAAUAUUUUAUUUUUAUAGAUCUUUUCUUUAUAAACCAUUUCAUGUAUGCAUAAAAAUCCUUCAUAUUUUGCUGUUUUUCGCUUUUUACGAACAGCAGAGAACAAGAAAUGAUGAACAUUUUUACAGAACUCUCAUUGCAAUAACUUAUUUAACUUAACCGAUUCGAAUUUUGGAUAUAUUAGGUAAUUUAACUAAUAUUAAUAAAAUUAAUAAAAACUUAAUUUAAUUAAAAGUCCCAUUAGUCAACGUAUAAUAGUUUUCGAGUAAUUUUCAAUAAUAUGUUUUCGGUCAAAAGUAGUUUGAUCAAUUUAUUAAUAUUUGCGAUUAACUGUUUUUGUUUUUAAUCGACUUGCAUCAGAAUAAUAUAGGUAGUAGGUACAUACACAAAAAUAAUGUUCAUAUUAUACUUGCAUAAUCAUAUAGGUCCAUCGGAAAAAAAAAAACGUAUAAUUUUAAAACUAGUAUUUCUCAUUUUUCGUUUAGAACCCUCAAAAAUUUCAUAGAAAAUAAAAUGUACAAAUAUUGUGUAAUGUGAUCAAAGAGCUUAGUAUUUUAAAUUUUAAACAUAGAUAUUUGUGAUCUUAAAAAGAAAUAAUUACUGUUAAAAUUAUGUUUUUGGCAUUCACUCAGCAUUCUGUGUUUCCUAAUUAGUUGUUCAAAAAUAGAUAUUCCAGUUUUAAAUAUUUCCGUUUUUUAUACAGAAUCCGUUGUAUAUUUGGCAAAUAGCCAUUUAAAUUGAUUAAAAAUGAAAGAUAUUCAAACAAAUGUAAUAUUGGUUACAACACAUAACUUUAUAUUCAAAUUUAAAUAUAAGAAAUGAAAAAAAUAAUACGAUACUAAUAAUGGACGUGCUUCUGUUGUAGUUGAGAAGUUGGGAAGAUAUAAUAUAUAAAGCUAUUUAAUUUAUAGCUGUACGCUGAAAUAAAUAUUGUCUAAUGAAAAAUGGUUCUAAGCAAAAUUAAUUUAAAUAUAUUAUAAAAUAUCUAAUUUUCGCGGUUUUAAGUAAAAUUUAAACUUAAAUUACUUAAACAAAAAUAAUUGUGUUUUUUGUCUAAAUAAAUAGCUCAAAUAUCAUCAGAAUAUUUUGAACAUUUUACCACAUCUAGAAAAUGCUAAUACAUACAUGAUAAUGAAUAAAUAUUCUAGAAAAAUUCGCGUAUCUAUGAAUAUUUGUCAAAAUUACAAUAAAAGAGCUGAUACUGGGGAUGGAAGCAGCAACUUUUGUAGGUGAAAAGUUGGGAAGGUAGGAUACAUAAGGUUAUUUCAUUCAUAUCUGUAAGCAACGAUAAACCAUUUUUUGACAAAAGUAAUACAUAACUUGAAGUGCCGUAAUUUUUUCUGCGAUUUCCUUUUAAAUUUGAUUUCAAAACGCUUAAAAAAAAAAAAAUAAACAAAUCAUUCGAUGAUUUUGGAAAUUUGACCACGGCUAAACAAGUCCAAUAUAAGUAUUAUUACAAAGUUUCAAGUAUCUACGUGUAUUUAUAACUGAAUUACAGCAAAAAAACUCUCAACAAUUAAAAUUCCUUAAGAGCUCAAAAGUUUUGGCAAUAAUUCUGUAUGAAAGUAAAUCAAAAAGGUAACAAAAAAGGUAUUUUGUGAUUUUUCGAUUAAAUUUUUUUUUCUGGUAGCAAACAUUGUCCGUGUUUUUAUAAAAAAAUAAAAUCGUGGAAUUGUUUAUUUUUCUACGUUUUUUCCACUUGAAUGCUUUUAUUUAAAAAAUGGCGUCGAAAAUUAAAAAAUUACCUUUCUAAAGUACUAUACACACAACUUGAGCUUUCAGAAAAGUUACUACACGUAAAAAGCAAGUUAACGUGUCCACAGACUAGGAUAAAAAAAAAUAAACAUCUUAGUAAAACCAAUAGUUCACUCGCUACGCUCGGAAUCUAAAACAAAGUCAAAAGUAAUGUCCUAAACUUUCCUGUCUUUCUUUUGUUUUUGUCAAUUAUAAAAAAAAAAUACACUAAACAUCAAAAAAAGACUUAGAAACCAAUUAGAAAAUAUUUUUUUCUGAAAUUAUGUUAAUCUCGAAACUUGGACUAAAAUUUUUUGUAGAAAACAAAAUUGGAAAAAUUAAAAAAAAUGAUAUCGUCAACACAAUAAAUUUGUCCGUUUUUUUUUCCUUUUUUCCUGAUAUUCCUAUUUAUAAUGAAAACCAUAUAGAAAAUAAAAAAAAAGACUCUCUUACUUAUCAACUAGAAAACAUUUUCUUUCGAAAAUUUGCUACACAUUUACAGAUUUAAUUUCGUGAAAAUAUUUAUUGAAACAAAUUCCAUGUAAAAAGUUUCAUUUAGUACAUUUCUCAUAAUUCAAUUUAAUAAUAAUAAUAAUUUAAACGCUCGCCUAAGGGUGUUUUAUAAACCAUUGUUAUUCAUAAUGAAGUAAUAUAUUAUUAGGUAUGACGUAGCAGGUCCUUAUGUAUUCGCAUUUAUGUACUUAUAAACUAUUGUAUUAUUUAGUGAUUAUAAAAUAAAUUUUGCUUAGUAAACAUACCUUUAUCGUAAGUUAUCGCACGUUAUCCAAUAUCCAUAAAUAUAUUGUGGUUAUAAACCAUAGACACUGUUAGAUUUAAUUUAUAUACUUAUAUUUAUUUACUAUAGUGGAAUUACAGUUGAUGAAAUCAAAAAUUAAAGUAUUACUAAAAAUCAAUUAUAAUUUAUUAUCAUUGUCCAUUAGGUUUUAUAAAAUUAAUUUUCUAAAAGAACUUUCUGCGUUUCGUUACGCAAUAUAAGUACAUAAUUUUAUGUCAUGAAGUUAGUUUUUCACGGUUCUUGAGUAAUUAUAAAGUCUAUUUUUAUACUUCAAACAUUAAUGUUUGGUUGGCGCGACUCCGUUAAUAUUACUAUUCUAUACUCGUGAUAAUUAUUAAAAGAGCGUGAUUCCCGUAUUUUGACUGUUACAGCCUACCUCUACCUACUGGGCAACAUAGUAAAAUUAUGUUAGGUAAACCAUAAAUAGUGGUGUUAAGGUUUAAAUUAGAAUUCAUAUACGAAAACAAAAUUUAAAGCGGCGGAUAUAUUAGGGUAAGUAGUAAUUUUCUGUUUAUCUAAAAUAUUAACAAAUAAAAAAGCCACAAUAAUUGUAGGACUUUUUUUGAAAGGUUAUUUUCUCUAAUUGGUGUACUUUGGAGGUUUUUUUUUAAUUUUCUAAAAGAUUUUCAAAAUAAUUGGGAAAAAUCCGAGAGAAAAUUGUGGUUAAAACAACAAAUAUUUACGGUACGCUGUGGCGUUAGCGUUUUCAUUGAUUUUAAUUUUUCAACUAUGUUUUCUAUCGAAAAUAUUGCUCUAAUCGAAAAAAGUCUAUUGAUUUUGGUUCUUUGUGUAUAUAGCCAUUGACGAAGAAAAUCGCUUUUUGAUAUCCAAAGUAUUUUAUAUAAUAAUUGGGAAAACCAAAAACACGUUUAUAUAAUUAAUAGUCUUAUAAAGUAUAAACUUGAACUAUUAAAACGAAAUUAUUAUUUGCAUGUUUUUUUUUUAUUAUCUUUAAAUUUGCAUAUUUAUGUAAGUAUUUUUUUAAAUAAAAUGUAUGAUACAAUUUUUGUUAAAUUUAUUUUAUAGAAAUAUUUAAAUAUACCUUGUCUAAUGCACAUUAAAAAUAUAAAUACGAAAAUAACAAUAGGUAUUAGCUCAUAAUAAAUGACCCUUGAAGUAUUAUUUUUACACCCCUUUUUGUCUAUGUAAAAAGUAUAGAAAUUUUAUACUAAACUCGUUAAAAUAGUAUUAAGAGAGUAGUUUACUGUAGUCAUAAAGAAGGAAAUGUGAUAUUUCUACGUUGAACUAUAGAGAGUAAAGUUAUUGAUAAUUGUAUUUUAGAGACACAUAAAAAAUAAAAAUUGUAUUGCACAAUUUUUAAUUAACGUUUAUUUUCCCGGUGAUUUUUCCACUGUAAUAUGUUUUCGAGUUCUUCGAUCGGAAUCUUCUUAUCAUUAGUUAGGUUAUUUUAUAAUUAAUGUAAUUUUUUUUUUAUUCUAAGAUAUUUUCUUAUUUUAUAUUGGAUAUUAUUCACCGAUGUAUUUCCAAGGAAAGAAAAUAAGCAUAGUAUAAUAUAGUCCUAUUAUUCCUAGGUUUUCUAGAUUAUAAUUUUUAAUUAGUCAAGUUAUUCUAUUUGUUCGACAAAUUUUUUGACCAUUUGUUAGUUUUAAUUGUUUUUUGGAAAACUUUAACCGAGCUUACCUUUUAAAACGAGCACUGUAUCAUUAUAUUUUAUCUAUUGAAAUGUAUUGGUAUGCUUUAACAAUGACGAAGGCAAAUUGCAAAUGCCUAUUAAUAAUUUAAAUCGAUUGAAGAUCUUCAACAAUUUGAGUCCAUAAAUAUAAAAAUAGAUUAUACUUGAAGGAAAAAAAUAAAUACAGCAAAGACAAAGUUUUCAAACAAAAAUUCAAUAACAUCAAUUUAGAAUUAGUGUAUAAUUGUUUUAGAUAAUACCUCUGUGUCAACAUUUUGUGUUAGAUCAGAAACUACAAUGCAAAUAUUUUAAAAAAAAGUAAAAACAAAUGUUGAUGAAAUAACCAAACAAUUUAAAAAACAUGGUAUUUGAAACUUAUUUGUUUAUAUAUAUUAAAAAAAAAACUCGUUAUUCUAAAAUUUAUUCUCGUACAUAAGUACUUUCACUUAUGAAUUUUUAUGAUUUGAUUUCUAAAAUUAAUUUAGAAGAGAGCUUUUAGUAAAGGCUAAUUGAAAUUGAAUUGUUUAAAACAAUAUUAGGUACUAUAGGUAGGUGUAUAGUAUUAGACCAUAAUUGGCUACAUUAAAUUAUUAAGACAAAUAUAAAGAGUCGACUCUACUAACUGAAGUUGACUUAUUAUUACUAUUAGUCAGUGGUUCUAGUCCACAUUCACUAUUCAGUAGGGUAUUCAAUUUGGAUUUACUAUCAAGAACACGUCUUUUUGUACGUUGUUUAUGUAUAAUUUUUCCUUAUAUAAUAUUAUUUAAUGUAUUUUAUGCGCCGUGCUCUUUAUUAUAUUUGUAGUAGAAAACUUGUAAAACAUUGGAGUAAAACAGUUCUUGGCUAACGUAUAUGUUUUUAAGUUGAUUUUGACAUUUUGUUAUUGAACAGUUUUUCGCCUUACUUUGAAUGAUUGAAUUACAUCUUUUGAUGUAGGUUCCGUGUGUUUGAUCAACGGUUCAAAGCAUUCACUAAAACGUUUUAUCAGAAAAAUAUCUGAAAUUUGAUGUUUCAGAUGUAUUGGAUAUUUAUUAUGUUUUAUUCUAGAUAACAAAUGAAAAUAAAAACAAAUAAUUCAUUUUCAGUUUUAUUUAUAAACAUAUAGGUAAUAUAAUAACGAGUAGUAAUUGAGUUAUAUAUAUAUGUUGUAUUUUUUGUGCAUAUUUAAAUUUGUAUUACAAUGACCUACAACUUGUGAAUUAACUAUCCUAACUAAUUUGUCGUACAUUAUAAUAUAUAAUAAUUUAAUGAAUCUUAAUACAUAAAUAUACCCUAAAUAUUAUGAAUAAAUCUUAGUUUGCAAUAUUGUUUUAGGCAUUUAGGUUUGGUUUUCGGGUAGUUUGAAGUUGGAACUUUACUCGGAACUUUAUUAAUUAUUAUUAAUGUCAUUAUUAUGAAUUCAUCGCCAAAUGAUACACAUAUAUCCAACAUAUUUUCAACUCUAAAUAAUGUUAUCAAUAUAUUGACUGUCCGAAUUUAAAUUUGCCAUAAUUUUUAAGAAUCACGUGAUUUAAAAACUAAUCUUUCGGGUCACAUUUUUUUAUACCAUGUUUAAAAACACUGAUCGACACGAAAAGAAGAAUACUAUGUAUUUUUUAACAACCGGCUAUUAAAUUAUAAACCAUAUAAAGGUGAAGUGUUAUCUAUUUUUAAUAAUUUUGAAAACAUAUAUAUUGCAAAUUAUUACUUUUAUAUGUUUAUAUAAGCCUGACCAUAACAAAAAUAACUAUUUUUCUGGUCCAGCAUGUAUUCAGUUAGAUAAUAUACCCCAUGAAAAACUAGAUUAUAUAAUCCGAUAUUACUUAUUUAAGAUACUCGAUAUUCUGAUAUCUGCUACCGAUACAAAACCGAUAUGCCGACCUGAUAUUUGAAAUCUAAAAUCACAAAUUGAUAUUGAAAUUAUCUGAUAAUAUAUCGAUUAUCAGCUUCUUUAUCGUUUUUUUUUUUCAUGUUCCAGAGAAAUAUUUUCUCAACAAUAUGGGGUCAAAUAUUGGCUGAUAUAUGUUAUCGGCUUAUACCAACACUCACCAUUAGUAAAUACUACAUUGCAUAAUACUCUUUUCGUGUUACCAUUUCGGUCCUGGUUGAAUAAUUUUCGUUAUCAAUAAUGAUAAAAUAGGGUAUCGAUAGCUUGACCAAAUACUUUAUAAAAGGUGACGAGUUGAAGUGAUGUUGAAAGUGGAAGACCAAGGAACGAAUUUAUGAACAAAUCUUGAUAGAGACGAUUAAGGUUAGUUACAAGGAGUUAUAGGAAUUGAGUUACGAAAGGAAAGCAUGACGGACUGCAGCAAACCAAUCAAGUCAUAAAAUUUGAAGACAAGAAAAAGAACAAAAAUGAAUAUCAAUCUUUUUGUUGUAAUGAUAACAUGAUAAUGAUCAACCGAAAAUUUGACCGAUGUAUGCGUCAUUCAAAAGUAGUCGAGUAAAAUUAGCGGUUUUGUAAAAAAUUCUUUAAUAAAUGAGAAAAAAAGUAUCCAGAAUAAGUUUAGAAUAUUUAGAAUUCAAAUUUAAUAUUUCAAAAUGUAUUGGAUUAAUUUUUAAUAUAAUUUUUUUUUAGUUGAUUUUUUAGUUAUCGGCACUGUUUUUUUUUUGUUUAGGUAAAACCAAAUGUGUGUUGCAUGAUAGACAUAACAGAGAUAUUUGACGUACUUUCUAAAAACACAAUUUUUUCUAAACAGAUAACAAUUCCUGAUCAAUGAUAACGCAAUUUCGCCAAUAUUAUCAAAUAACUAAUAUUCUCUGGUGUGUUUAUGGAGAAUAACAAGAAAUUAUUUACUAUCAGUGCUUCGCAGCCUGCAGGCCUCGAGAUUGUUAUAAUAGUUGCCUAUUUCACUCCUUUUUGUUAUUGAUCAAAAUAUAACGAAAAGCUAUCUGUAAUCAAGAGGAGGUGGGGGGUUUCUAAAAAAAAAAAUUAGAUUAGAGUAAUUAAAAUUUAAAAAAAAAAAAUCGUAUUCUGAAUAUGUUUUCUCCAAAGCAUCUAGAAUAGUAUUAAAAUACUUUUAUUCGAAUAUUUUACUAGACUAAAAAUCGGGUAUGUAUAUACUAUAUUUAAUAUAUACUCUUAUAACGCAACAUAUUAUCGGCGUCUAUUGGAUAUUGUGACAUUGGAAGUGCGGUAUUCAAUUAUUUAAACAUAUUUUAUUAUAAGAUCACCGUGUGACGGUGUAGGUCGCUCUAAGGUCAGUGAUAUGAUGACCGUGUGCGUGUGCGGUAUUUCGAGUGGCGUGGAUCCACAGACAGCACCGCCACACGACAUCCUUCGUCGGGCCACCGAGGGCAAAGGUGUCGGCGGUAGGCGUGCAGGUAGGCAGGCAGGUAGGCAGGCAGGCAGGAAGACAGGCAGGUAGGCAGGCAGAUAGGUAGGUAAGACGAUACACGGCGAUUUACGCGGAAGACUAUAGCGGCAUUAGGGGCGCGCGCCUGUGCGUGUUGCGUGUCCGGCGACGGCCGAAGAGGCGCCACGUCGGUCGGUCGCACGGCGUACACCACCGCGAGAAUCGAUAGGGACCGGGCACGGUGGAGGCGGCGGCGGCGGCAUGUAUACGCUUUCGCCGCGUUGGCCGUCCGCGUGGCAGCGUCGUCGUCGUCGCCGAAUCGAGACCUCUCUCGGCGGCCACUACGGCGCGUCGAGCGUCACGUCACCGAGGAACGAAUUUGCGCGGGCCCCUGACGGGCACGCACACGCACGCAGGGCCACGCACGCACACACAAACCCUCGAGUACACACGGGUGGCGCGCACGCUCGCGGCGGUUGGAGCGCGCGCGCCCGCGCAUAUACUCGUACCACCGGUGCCGCCGUUGUCGUCGCGCCACUACCGGUCACUGGUACCGUUGCCGCCGACGUCAGUCCACCACGAGACCACGGGACGUAUCAUUGUCUUUCAUCACACACACACACACACACACACACGUCGUCGGCGUCGUCGUCGUCUUCACUUAUUAUCAAUUUCACAUUUUCCAUCACGUCUUUUUCAUCUAUACAUACGUCGCACAAUAUACGUAUAUUUUUAUUAUUAUAAUAAUAAUAAUUUAAAUAUUACAUUAUUAUAUUAUAAAUAUAGCGAUUUAUAGUUCACACGCACGACUCGGUAUUUUAUAUAUGCAUACGCAUUUUUGCGUAUCCGCUCGGACACGUUGUGUCGUCUGCCCCGUCAGACCCGAUUUACGAGCCUCACGCAUAUUAUCAAUGAGAUCGUGCGGCGAUAGGCGAUAAGCGUACUGUACGUACACCGAACGAGAUAAUAAACGGCGAAACGAACACAAAUAAAUAACAACAAACACUAUACAAUAAUUAACAUUAUUAUUAUAAUAAUAAAAACAAUAAAUAUACGUCCACUGCCGUAAGACAGCCACUGCGACGGACGCAUUAUAAUUAGCCGGUACCGGCGUCGUCCAGGGGGCACUCAGACCAGGGGCCGUCCAUCAGCGCGACAACGCACCCAACUCGCUGUCCGACCGGCUGAACACGCACGUGUUGGCACGAAUCCACGUAAGUCGUUUAUCAUAAUAUUUUAUAAUAUGCGUACGUUUUAUUACUAAUAAUUUAUUAUAUAUUAGGUUAUCUAUUAUUAUAAUAUAUUAUCGUAGGUAUCGUUUUGGUUUACGCGUUCGAUAAGGUUGUCAUAACGAUAAUCAUUUUUUGUAUCGUAUUCAUUCGAAACGACACGUCCAUCGUGCCGCCGGUUGUUUUAUUAUUAUGCAUUUUUAUUUAUGUUUUUUGUUUGUUUUUUUUUUUUUUACGAACGCAGCCGACUCGAAAAAUACUAUGUACGAUAUAGAUUUAAUAAAACUCUAGAAAUAUUGUUGUUCUUGGCGAAGUUUACGAUAUUAUAGUUCUUUUUUUUUUUUUUACCCCGACCCAAAAUAAAAUAACAAAAACUCCGCAAUACGGGCGGAAAAAAAUAUAAAAAUAAUUUCGGUUCGAUCGGAAAAUAUUAUUCCGUUUUGGUAAACUUUAUAAUAAUUCAAUAAUAUAUAUAUAGUUAUAGAGUAAUAUAUCGUGGUUUUUUAUUUGAUUCGAGUGAGCAGUACUUAUUUCCCCCCACCUCUUCCUCGGAACUUUUGGUUUCAAAAUAAAUUCGUUACCUCGUAUAUGCAACCACUAAAUUUACGUACACAAAAUAUUGGUAAGGUAGUUAUAGUUUUUAUAUUUUCAGGUACCUAUAUUACGAUCUUGUUUAAUUCGAUAAACAUUAUUGUACACGUUUAAGUUAUGGGAAUAUUACAAAACAAAUUAUUGGCGGGGGGUUGUAUUUUUUUUCUACCCAGGCGGUCCUAGUUUUAUAGACAAAGAAUACAAAGUUGGAUGAUUUUGAUCGAGCAUUAUCAAUUUUGUUCGUCAAUAUAAGAGAGUAGUUUCAGUGAAAUUUAGUAAUAACAGAUAAACGUCCCUGCAAAAGAGUUGAAAAUCGACCAAAUAACAGUUUGACCGAUUUUCGAAUUCAAUUUAAAAACUGUAUUAUUUACAUAAAAAAAAGUCCGGUAGGAUGUUAAAUUUAGGACAUAUAAUUAAAACUAUGUUUUAUUCAAAGUCUCUGUUAAAUUUAUAAUUUUCUGAACAAAUUCGAUAAAAUACCUAAUGAAGUAUUUUUAAAUUGACGAGAAACUUUGUUAAAACAUAUUUUAUUGAUAGUUUUAUGUUUUAUUUUUAUGUAAACGGUGUAGUUUUUUUUACUAAACUCGAAAAACGGACAAACUAUUUUCUUUUUUUGUUCAUUUUCAACCUUUUAGCGGCACGUGAUAUGAUUGAAUUAAUCAUCACCGAAUUUCACUCAAAUUAAUAUUUUAUAUUGAUGAAAAUGACAUAUUAUAUGACUGAAUAUACCAGUGAGAGGGGAGGGGUAAAAAUUAUAUUUAAUUUUUUUUCCUUCAUCUAGACAGUAAGUAUCAAGUAAGUACCUCUCAAUUAGGAGGUGUGUUAUAAUUAGUUUUAGAUUUAAAAGCCAUAACUGUAAACAUUUUAUUUUAUUUAUUCGUUGGAAAUAGAAAUUUAAUUAUUUUACUGAAAAUCGUAAAAAAAAUUGAUUAUUUAAUAUCUAUCUCAUUUGAACUUAUAUUGCCGUAAAUACAUUUAUUAUAUUAUUUAAAAUUUAAAUAAAAAUUAAGGGUUCAUUUAUAAUUUUGAAAGAGAAUUGAACUCCCUAACCCUCCCCCUUCAUUUUCCACGGUCACACGUAUAGACGUGUUAUUAUUUUUAUAAACGCGCAAUGGAAUGAAUAAAUGAUUUAUUCUAUUCGUAAUUAUUAUGUGGUAGAUAUUUAAUUUUAUUUAAUCUGUAAACUAUUUAUUUUUUUCAUAGACAGCGUAGAAGUAGCGAUUUAUUAUUUUUUUAGUGGGCACGAUAUAAUAUAUUAUAUUUAAUAGUUUGUUAAUUUUACCGACCUGCAACGUUAAAACUGUGUGCACGAGUUAUAAGUUUUCGACGUUUUGAUAAACUGUUUGCUAUUAAAACUAAUUUCUAAACCAAACAAAUUGUAUUUAAUAAAUGUUUUUCACGUUUUAAAUAUAUCUAUCAGGUUUGUAUAACGACGCGCGGAUUAAAGCUCAUUUUGACUGAGGCGAAUAAAAAUAUACCGUAUUAGUAAAGCUCUGAAUAGUAUAUCGUAAAACGAAGAUUAUUUUCAUUUAAAACGGUGACAAAAAAAAGCCUAAGAAUGAUUGCCUAAAUCGUCCUCCUCCCUUAUAUACCAUCUGCCAUGGCUGCGUUUUAUAACUUAUAUAAAAAAAAAAAUAAAAAAAACCAUAAUUUGAUUAUAUUCAACUUCAGUUUUAAUUUGAUUCUUUGUUGGAAACUUUAUUUGAACACGACUCGAUCAUUGUUUGUAAUAUGAUUUAUAAGAUUAAAUCAUACUUUUCUUCAUAUAAAUCUUUUUAAGGCGAUUGGUAACGGUGUAUAUUUGAGUCAAUUUAGGUAUAAAAUCCAGAUAAAAUUGUAGGAAUUGUAUUUAACUGAUUUCCAUUUGAAACACGGAUUAUGAUUCUUUAGGUUCUUUAGGUACUAGGAUAUGUUGAAUAUACGUAGUCAUUAAAUUAUUUUAUUGGAAAACGUAAACAAAUUUUAAUUUUAUUUUUGAACAAUUUUCAAAAAUGUUAUUAUAAUAUAAGAAUUGACAUAAAACAAAUUAAUUCUAACGUAUCCUUAUAAAAAACCAAAAAAAUCAUAAUACGUUUCCAUAAUGAAAAUCUGUCAAUUUGUCAAUUGCUACAGUUUUGUUUUGCUUUUCGAUCUAAAACGUCAUAUUUGUCCGUAAUAACGAUCGUUCCCUUUAAACAGGUAGCGCGCAGUACGCUAGUGAAUAAGUCUUAUCAAAAAGGUGGUUUUUCAAAUAUUUUAAAUUGUGUAAAAUGAGAAAGAUCUUCAUAAGUCCCCUUAAAUGUAAGUUGGAAUAAAAGAAACACUAGGAUACCUUUUAAUCGCUGUUUGUUAAAGGAUAUGUUGUUUUAUAGAAAGCCAAAUUAGUGUCAAAUAUAUUUCAUGUAUAUUUCGGUUUUAUUUUUAAAUUUUUAAACAAUUUAUGUACGUUUAUUUGAUGUCACGAGAAUAAUUGCUUAGCUCGUAAAGUCAAAAGCUCGGCGGACGCUCGGUUUUUUCUGCAUUUAAUUCUUAGAGCGUCAGUUGCGCGUAACUCUUCUAACGCUAUAUACUUGACCUCUUUCCAAAGCUACGUGCUUAGUAAGUAAGGCUUCGUUUGAUCGACGUUGUUAAGGCGAUGAGUAGGACCGUUUGUAUAUUGCGUACUCUACUCUUCACAGUAUGUAGGUGGUUUUUUUUUUUAGCUUCGCUCCUCCCCUAUUAUUGAACUUAACCACCUUUCCUACGUAUAUCGGAGGGUUAUAGCGCUUAAAUGAAUCCUUACGAAUAACAACAGCUUACCGACGAUCACUUAUAAUAUAAAAAAGGAUAUUUGGGUCAACACAUUAUUAUUUUAGAUUCUGAGCGAGGCGGGAAAUAUAUUUGGUUUUACUAAGAUGUGCACUUUUUUGUGUUCUGUCUAUCAACAACUUUUUUACCAGAAAUCUCGUUACAAUUGAAAAACAAAAAGAGGAGUUUUUUGUGGUAGAAUUUUUUUAUUAUAGCCAAUGCAUAAAGCAGGUUAUUUUCGAUUUUUCUUGUAUUUGUCAUUAUACCUGGAAAAAAUCGGAAUAAAACGUAUCAGCAAUAAAAGUUUCAUUAUUUUUGAUUUUUUUUUUUACUAGAAAUCUUUUCUAAUUUAAAGUAUGUUUAUUGUAAGUAUAUUUUAAAGUAUGUCAAGUUAGUAUAUUAAAAGAUAAUUUUCGAUUUUUUUCUAUUGUUUUCCCAAAAAUAGUGAAAAACCAGAAAAACCCGUAGGAAAAACGGAAAAAUUUACGGUUCAGUUAUUUUUGAUUUUCUAUUUUUGUUGUUAUUCGGUUGAAUAUAAUCGUAGAGAUCUAAAACUUGCACAAAAUAUUCAUAUUAGACCUUUAUCAGCGUGGUCAAACGUUGAAAACGUAUUGGGUUUUUAAGCUAUUUAUAGGCAUUUUAUAUUUUUAAAUCACAGUAUGCCACGUCUUUGCGUGGCAUGAUAAAGUUGUAGCGGUGGUUGCGGUGGUGGCGUAAAGUGAGUAAUUUGGGUGGCCAUGUACAGCUCUGGCGGUAGUCGCAGUAGUGGUGGCAUAGAAAGGGUAAUUCGAGUGGCGCUGCAGCUAUACUACAUAAUUCGCAAAUGCAUAUAUGUUGCAAUUUGUUUUAGAGAAUUGCUUAACAGAGUUUCGCGCAGAAUCGAUUUUCGUUAACAAUGAUUUAUAGUUGCUUAAAGAUAUAAAUUGAACAACUCUAUGCAUUAUACCUUCUUUACAUCUCAUCUACAACAGUGACACACUCAUCAGCAUUUUCAGGUCUUUUUUUUUAUGUCAAAAUAUAGUAGGCAAGUAGUUAAAGACAUUUUUCAGAAAUGAUGUAUGGUUUACAAAUAGUUCAAUAGAGUAUAUUAUUGUGUUAAAAAAAUUUGAUUUAAGAACUCUGUGGAUUUUUUUCUAAUAGGUUUAUGAUAUGUUAUAAUAAUUAUACAGGAAGUGUUGUACAAUGUGUUAAUUUAUUAUAAGUUAUAACUACACAAAGUAUAUAAUAAUAUGUAUACAGAAAAGAAGUCAAGUAGUAUUGUUUAAUUUUAUUUUAAUCUAAAAGAUUAUGUUAAGUUUAAAGAUGGUUUAUUAAAGGUUAAAAGAUUUUUUUAAAAAUAUUUGUCUAUUUUAAAUUUAUAUUCCUUUUUGGUGGGAUUGACCGAUAAUUUUGAACGACGAAAUAACAGUCUAUUAUUUUUCGUUCGAUAGUAACUAUUUAUAAGUACGUUUGUUAUUUCUUUCGGCUUUACCUAUCACGAAAAUUCGUUCUUGACAAAUCCUAUUGAUUAAGAUUAUUAUUGUUAAGAAUACGUAUCAUACCUAUAUACGCAUUAUAUCUAUUCAAUGGGAAUAAUUCGUAAUCCUCAAAUGCGAUUUCUGUAAGUGAUGUUCGUGUUUUGUAGAACUAUAAAAAAAAAUUGUUUUCUUUAUAUUGAAAUCAAAUCAUGUUUGAUUAUUGAAUAAUAUCUAAUGCCGGAUUAUUCGGUUGUGAAUACGGUUUGUGUAAAAUGUAUUUAUACAUUUGUGUAUGAGUUAAUAAAAAUAAAUCUUGUGGUAGACAACGAAUUGAAAUUUCUUUCUAGAGGUUUUUAUCAUAGCAAUUUUCCACGGUCGUUACGAAGUGCACGCCGGAGAUUAUACUGCAGGGGUGGGUUUUUAUGCACGGAAUAUCCGGCGGAUCCGGAAAAAUCAAAUUCCCCUAGCCUGUAUAGGAUACGUGCAUGCCAGAGCUAAAAACCAUUGCUUCCGGUGAUCCACUUAUCAUAAAAAUGUGACUCUAAAUUCAACCUUAUAUAUUACGUAUAUUAUGAGCGUUUGCUUUUUAGUCGUGACAAUCAGGUCACAUCAUUUUAGGAAUCUAUUUUUUUUUAGAUACAUCAAUAAGCGGUGAGAUAUUAGACACACUUCUUAAUGUCUGAUUUAUUUUUUUUAAGUAUGUAUGGAACUUUUGAUCAACUUUAAGUUUUGAAGACCUUCAAAACUAAAUUAUUAUUUUUGAAAAUUCCGUGAUAAUAACUACAUUAAAUUUAUAUUUAUUUUGGGAAUACUAAAUUUUAAAUUUAAAAUUAACUUCCUAAAUAAUCUGACAAUUUGUUAAAAAUCCAUAGAUAAUUUCAAAAUUCAAAUCAAAAAAGUAUUUUUAAUUUCCCACCGCUUAUUGAUCAAGAACCACCAUAUUCGAUCGUAAAAAUAGCUAUACCUCCUCCUCUUAAUUGUACAUUGUUAUGAAAUGGUUAAAAAUCAUUUAUAAAUUCAAUAUAAUUGAAAACAAUUUGGUAAAUCGGUUCCAACUCUUUUAACUAAAAACCUAGAAAUAAGAGGUUUAGGAAAUUCUAAAUAAAAGUUCUUAAAUGAUCAUUAUAAUAUUAUUAUAAAUCGUCGAUAACAAUAUUAAUGUUGAAUUUUAAUCUUUGGAACUGUUGUUAAAAUGUAAUUUAAAAAAAAACCCGUUCGUUUUCUAUCGUCCUUGAUAUAUUGGGUUAGGUCGAAUAAGGAUUCUUUUUGCUUUUUUUUUUCGAUUAUAAGACUAAUUAAACAUUAUAAUAGGUUGGAUGUUUGUUUUUUGACGGAUAUUUAAGACAAAUUCGAAUGUUUUAUACAACUAACUAUAAUAUUGUUAUUGUUGUAAAAAUAACAACACUACACUUAUUUUAUCUAUGUAUACGAGGAUUAAAUAUUAAAGUGUAUUUUAAACUUAGAAAAGUCAAAAGUUUUCUUCGAGUAAAGCUGUUACGAAGGGAAUAUCUUUAAAGUAAUUUGAAAUUUGUAAUAUUGUCAUCCUAAGGUUAGAAUAUAGUUAGAAACUACAUACCUAUUCAAGUAUUAAGAUUCGAAUAUUGUAAGUAGAUAGUCUUGAAAUAUAAAUAUUUAAACAUAGGUACCUAUCUAUAUUAUAGUAUAUCUAUACUGAUGUAUAUAUUAUGUACAUCGAAAUAGGCACGUACUUACAUUUUUUCUAUGGCUAUAAUAAUAUUGUCUUACAAAUUCUUGGAAGACAAUAUAAUUAUGCCUCUUUAUGCGUGUUUAUAAAAAUGCUUUAAUGGAUUUGAAUAAAAUAUUAUGUAUUCUAUUAUAGUCAAUAUUCAUUUGUCUGGUUUAUUGUAUAUGUAUAUUAUAUUAUGUGGUAUUGUAAUUUUAUGUAGAUUAAAUGGUUUUGUAAGUUAAAACCAAAAUACGUAUCUUUAAUAAUAUGUAAUCCCAAGGAUAUGCAAAACGAAUCACAAUUUACUUGUUUUAAGAUCCGUGCAUUAUUUGUAUUAUAUGUUUACACUAUUACUAUUUCCUUGCUCAGUUAGGUAUCUCUGAAAAAUGUAAAUAUUUGGGCAAAUACACUUAAGAAUUUCAUGAAUAAAAUUAUCGGGUUAUUUUUGUAAGUCUUAAGUUUUAUAAUAAUUUUUACAAUUCAUAGUACUAAAUUCGUUAAAUUUAUUAUAUUUAUUGGGUAUAUUCAGUUUUAAAGUUUUACCUUUUAUAAAUUUAUAAUAAUAUGUCUUUGUGUCCCGAUAUGCUGGAUCUGGCCUCCAACUAUUAUCGGUAUUUUUUUUUUACCCAAAUUUAUUGAGCAAUAUCAACAUAGAUUCUAUUAGAUAAAUGGCAUAGAGCUGUGUGUAGAGUUAAUUUCUUUCAUUAUCGGCUAAUUUUAAACAGUUAAUUUCAUUAGAAUCCAAUGAAAAUGGGUGCAUUGUUUUUUUAUUAGUGAACUGACGGUUAACGUUAUUGGUACAUUUUAAUAAUGAUUUAUUUUAAACUUCUCGAAAUCUUUCCGUUACGUUAAACUGUACGCCGGCCUAGCUGACAGUCGUUUAAAAUUUAGAACUAAGCAAUUUUAACAACAGCCCUGGGUCUAUUUUCUGAUGUAGUGACGUAGUUUUUAAUUACGUUUUUACACGUUUCAGUGUAGACAACUUUCUUUCAAAAGUGUAAGGAAUAUUUGGAAACGUAGUUAUUACUAAAUUCGUUAAAUAGUAGAUAUGUAUGUAUAAAUAUUUUCCACGAAGGGGAAAUAAUAAAGCCCUCUUAGUUUCUAUAGCUAUAUAUAGUAGGUAUUCGAGUCGUUAUAACAUUUUCUUCGUAGGUAUUCUAUGUUGUUAUUAUAAUUUGUUUAGAAUUCCUUUGAGAUAUUUUAUUUUUACAUUUAAUGAUUCAAAUCCAGUGUGUUUUUUAAAUAUUCUUAUGUACCUUUUGUGAUAUAGGAUAUUACAAAUACUAGGUUUUACGAAAUUAUGAGGAAGAUUAAGGAUUUAAAAGAAUUAAUAUUAUCUUCGAUUUUAUUUUCAGCCAAUUUUAAAUUGUUCAUGUUAGAGUGUUAGAGUAUCAGAUGAAAUGUUUUUAUACCUAUAAUAUAUACCCAUAGGCAAUAUUGAUUUAUCACGUGAAAAAAUGGAAAUUGCAGUGUUUAUAGGGAUAUAGGGAUUAUAUUCGUUAAUAUUUGUAAACCAGUAUUACAUUUAAAUUAUAAAUGAAAUCCCAAUUGGUUUAAACGAAACAAAUGAAAAAUAUUUUGUUUUAUUUUAAUAAAUUGGUUAAACAUCACCGGAUUUCCUAAGAGUACCGCCAAGAACUAUAAUGUAAUAACGUUGUAAAAAGUCAAAAAACUCGAAUAAAAAAUAAAACAUUAUAUAUCUAAUUCAUGCAAUAACAGUUUAGGGAAAUGGUUUAUUUAUAAACUAAGAUUGUAUCCAAUUUAGUUUUUAUUUAUAAAGCAAGCGUGAAAACAAAUUAUUUAGUAGGUAGUAAAAAAAAAAAAAAUACAUACAUACAUAUAUAUUAUUAUUAUUAUUUAAAUAAACAAACGUCGUCUUCGUCUGUUAACUUAACACGCAUAAUAAUAAUUAUGUGUGUAGUUAAAUUUCGAAUAUAGUAUUCUAUGGGGCGUUACAACCUAAAUAACGUUCAUUUAAAUUUUCGCAACGAUAAAAUCUUAAUUCAAUCUGAAAAUUUCCGCUGGAAUGAUUUUAAUGUAACUUUGUCUUUUUUUUAUUUUUCGAUCAAUUUAUUAGAUUCGAUUAAUUUUUAGGAAUUUUCAUAACGUUUUAAUCAUAUUCCGCCAUGAAUAAUAAUUGCGCAAAGGUUUUGUUUUUUAUGGGAAUAUCACGAAGAGAUUUAAAACUUUUGGACGUUUGGACAACUUUUUAAUAUACCUAUUGCCUUAUACUAUAUAACUUCAACUAUUAUUAAUACCUACUUUGUUAUUAAUGAUAUAUGUUAGACUAUCAAUAUUGAUUCAUAUAUUUUUUUAAAUUAAUUUUCGGAACACUUAAAUGUUCUAAAACUAUAGAACUGUACAAGUAAAAGCAAAAUAUAAUUAAGCGAUUCUAUGAAAUAUACACAUACAAUAAUAGUUAUGAGUUCGCAAUAAUACUAAUAAUAAUAAUAAAACAAAAUAUUAACUCGGUAUAAAAGUAAAAAAAAAAAAAACCCGAAAAACAAACUAACUUAAUUUAUAAAUACGAAUUGGCUAAUGAUUUAUUAUUAAUAUACUCGGUUUUCUUCAUUACUUUUUGAAUUAAAAAAGAAUGGUAAUAUUACGCUUUGCAUUAAGUCGCAAAAAGUUUUCGUGGAAUAAUUACAAAUAUAAGAAUAUUUUAAAAUUAUUCCUUAAUUAUAAAAUUGCUAUUUUAUACACAUCUACUCAAUAUUUGUUUAUGGUUUUUUAUUUUAAUCAUUACGGUUCCUAUAUUUUAAACUUUAAUAUAUUUAUAUAUAUAUUAGAAAUCUCGAGUUUAAAUUUCAAAAUAGAUUAUUAGGUAAUAUUAGCAGAUAAAUAUUGUAUUAUAUCAAAUUAUGAUAUUAUCAGCUAAUGAUAUUAGAUGAUAUUGUAAUAAUUAUUUAGAUGGGAUUUAAAAUGUUUUAUAAUAUUGGAAAAUGUACGUUAGAUGUUGUUUUUCUAAUGAACUUAUAAUAGUCAGCUGUUAUUCGCUGUUAUUGCCUUGCUGUGAAUGUUACAGCUCGUUAAAUAUGUUUUAUUUUACCGCUCUAUUUAUUCAUAUAAAACGUGAGGUUUAAUUGUGAUAUACAUUUUAAUAUAUAACAUCAAUGAUUUUUUAGUAAGGAUAUGUUAAUUGUGUUAUAUUUAAAAUUUGGUUCUGAGGCUGGUUUUAGAAGUUAUAUGAUAGAAUGUCAAAUUUUAUAAUACCAUGUUUUAUAAAAUAAAACUUUUAGUUUUUAUUUAAAUAUGUAUUUUGUUUACUCCGAUUAAAUUGUAUUAUAAAUUAUUUAUUUAAAAAAAUAUUGUUAACUAUAGUUAUAAAAAAAAUCUCAAGUGUUAAAAAAAAAAAAAAUAAUAAUAAUAAUAAUUUACAAUACUUAGGCUUAUUAGCAAUAUUUUUCAUAAUUCAUUAAAAUCAUAAUUUCAAUUAUCAACAACUUAUUGUAUUUUGUUUCAUUGUAUUUUUUCUUUUUUUUUUCUUAAUCAUAAUUCUACAUCAACAGUUAGUAGUUUUAAUCUAAUACAAAUUAAUAACGAUAAAAUAAAAAAAAACCCAAUAUGAAAUCUAUUACAAUAUUUUAAAACAUAGUUAUUCUGAAGUAUAGAUUUCUUAAAACUUGAUUUUUUAAAACACGCACCCAAAUCUUAAAAUUCACUCACGAUUCGGAAAAUUAUAUUUGUUUUUGUUUAGCGAAAUAAAUAAUUAUUUAAGUAUGCACUUAAUCGUUAUUAUUAUAUAAAGAUAAUAAAAUUCCUUUUUUGACAUUAAACUUAGGUAUACUAAACACAUUAGGUUGUUAUUAUCUCACAAAAUGACUUUUAAUAUGAAUUUAAAAUUAUUAUAAUUCUCUAUAGUAUGAUGAUUGCAUAAUAAUUAAAUUAUCGAGUGUAAUAAAGUAUAAUAUAACUGUAGGACGUAGGUAUCUAUAUUACAAAACAAUGUAAAUAUUAACAUUUUUUAAAAUUUUUUUUUUAAAAAUUUGAAUAGGAAAAUUAUCAAGACGAUGUUGAAAAUUGAAUUUAUAUAAGCGGUUAUGAUGUUCUAAAAUUAUUAUUUUUCAUUAUAAAAAAAUACAUGUAAUAGAUGAUGUUUACAAAGGGAGAAUGAUUGUUUAAUCAGAUCGUAUAUAAACAAAAAACGAUUACAGCUCUACCUAAAUCUGUAUCACCGCCAGAUAUAGUUUAUGGUUAGGGUAAUAGAUGGACCAUUGGUCGGUACUGUUAUAUAUGUACAAAAUAUGUAGUGUACACACAUAAUAGCGAGUCGUGUUGUGCCCAAGGUAUUUUUGGUAGGUACGCUGUGUGGGUAUGCAUAUUUCAAUCGGUAUUUGAAAUUUAAAUAGUUUGAAUAAUGAUAUCUUAAAUAUAAUAUAUUAAAUGUCUAUGUGUAAUGAAAAUUACGGAAAUAAUGAACGGAGAACUCGAAGUGAAAUAUCGAGUUACUAAAUAUAAAUUAUUUUGCAAUAUACGUAUAGUGCAUACGUAGUCGCUUGAGUCGAUACGAAAUUAUAUACGCUAAAUAGAAUCGAAAAUGACGAAGAGAAAUAAUAUUAUGUGCGUGUAUAAUAUAAUGAUGAAAUAUAUCAUGUAGUUAUUAUACGGGGCUGUACACCUACUUGAAAAAUUAUCGCAGUCGUAAUCAGUUUUCACUCAUUUUUGACGUAGGUUGUCAUAGCGUGUUAUCAACGAUAUCUUUCAAAUGAUAACAUACAAUACAAAACUCAAGAGAGUGGAGGCUUUUUUCAAUACGGAUUUUUUUUUCUCAUAUGAAAAUGUCUUAAAAUUAAAUACAGCAAUAUGUAUUUGGACAAAAAAAAAAUAUAAAAUGCGGGAUUUUCAUUUUUAAAAUUAACUCGAUUGUAAAAAUGAAAAAUAGUUAUUAGCAAUAGGUAUUUGUAUCAUUUAAUUUUUUUUUUCAUGGUACCCCAUUAAAAACAAAAUUUAACACAUACGUUAUAGAGUUGAACUAUACAAAUUAUUAUUGCAUUUGUUUGCAUUUCUUUAUGGUAUUCAAGAAUUCGUUUCAUGUUGUUUUCAUGUUCCAUGCUAUUCAUUUUUGAUCUAUUAAUUUCAGUUUAUUAGCUAUUAUAUUAUUAUUUUUUUUAUCAAUUGUAAGCAUAUUUUACAUUUUUAAUAUGCAUAAUAAUCUGUAUUUAUAAACGACUCAAAUUUCAAUAAAGCUAUUUGUAUUUAUAUUUUUUUGAACGGAUCAUUCAUAACAUAUUCAAAAUAAAAUUAAUUUAAGUUUGUUAAAAUUAAGCUUUAUAUAUAUUUUAUUAAAACAGUUUUUAAUUGUUUGUAUAUAAAUGGAUAUUAAAUUACAUUUUGGUUCUCAAAGAAUUAAUUUUUUGAAUGUCUGAAAAUAUAAUGAUUACUAAAUUAUUUUUCAUAAUAUUAUUAUAAAUUAAUUUCAACUAAAUGUUUAAUGUUCACAUCCUCAAGUCAUUUUUUAGUAGAAUUCUAAUGAUUUAAAAACAUUAUUUCUUUUUAGUAUUUCAAUACAUUUAAUGUAUGUUUUUAGUGUAUAAUUUGUCUAGCAAUAAUUAUAAUAUUAAAUAAACAUCCAAACAAAAUAAUAUAAAUUUAUCUCGCAAAGAUAAAAUUGAAAUAAUAAUUUAUCAUUUAUGAGAUUUAAUUUAAAAAAACCUUAGAUGAUAAUAUACGUAAUAAAGAUCGUUUUAUUUAUUUUAUAUGUAAAUAUUAUAUUAUAUAUUUGUUACAUGAAAUAAUUUCAAGAAUAUAAAAUAUUAUUUUGGAUGGGUAAUCACUUUUUUCUUAAUAUAUAAUAUAAUAUAACCAUAUACUCACUUCAUAUUAAUUAAUAAAUACCUAUAGCCAUUUUUAUUCUAUGUAAUAAUUUAUUAUUUUCUGUAUAUACUUUGUGAACAAUUUUUGACUAGUACUUAAUACAUUAUGCAACCUAUGGGUGUUAUACGAACGUUUACUAUUUAAAACUUUAACCGUUAUUAUUUUUAAUUCUGUACCAUUUUGGAACAGGUAAAAUAUUCUCGUAAAUCUUCUGUAUAAUAUUAUAUAAUAUUAUAUUUGUAUACACUUAUAUUUUAUGUACAUUAUAACUUUAAACUCGAUUCGACAAACAACUUUAAAACAUAGUGAGUUUGUAAUACUUUGAUGGGUAACUUAAAACUAAUAUUCUUAUUUGAUUUAUUACUCAAUACAAUUUUUUCUAUCCUUCAUUUAUUAUUUUAUGGUAUUGAAUGUACUUUGUAGCGUUUAUUUGUUGUAGUUAAAAAUAUAAUACUUGUUUUUAUGAUAUUCCUUAUGUAAUUAUUCGUUCAUUAAAUUACUGUGUAUAUAGUUUAAAUAUUUUAUUAGUUUUAUUGUAGGCACCUAUCUAUUUAAAUCGUCCUUUUUUUUAUAUUUGUGUAUCCAAAUUCUUUACCAAUAAACUAUAACCUUAAUAAAUUAAAAAGUGUAAGAAAACGAGUACAAAUAUAUACAAAUAGUAAUUCAAAAGUAUAGAAUUUACUAUCAUUAAUAUUAAUGAACGAAGUAAUUUAUCAUAUUAAACGACAUAGAUAUGUCCAUUUGUAUGGAACAUUAUAUAUAUUAUUUUUUUUUAUUGAAGUGAGAAUAAUAGAAAACAAUAGUUACACAAUGAAAUCAAUAAUGGCUUGUCUAUUGAUACUAUUCUAUGGACAUACACUAUACAUAUAUAAUAAAUAUAUAUAGUAUAUACAGAAAGAAAAAAAAAUAGAGAGAGAUAGAGUGAGAGAGAGAAAGCUGCGCUGUCGUAGUCUGGUUUGACGAUUGUGAUUGAAAUCACCUGAAGCGAUGGUUUACAAUCUAUCGUUUUGUUUUCUUGCGGGAAACGUUCAUGUUGGUGAAACGACAAUCGUUGCCGAGACAAAUAGGAUCCCACAGGACCAAGUUUUAAGACGAGGGGGAGUGAACCAAAAACAAAAGAUCCCUUUCAGAAUAAUCUAGAAUAGAGAAUAGUAUUCUAUGAAAAUGUUAAUGAAAGAAAACGAGAAGUGAAAAAAAUGUAUCCUGUGUAAUUUGCAGUGUUGAAAAACGUAAUGUGCAAAAUGCAAAUAGUGGAAGUAAAAUCGAUUUGCUAGUAAUUAAUGUUCAAAAUGUUUUGAAUUUCUAUAAUAUUGCUAGUUUUAAAUUUGUAUUAAAAUUAUUGAUACAUUUUUCAUAUUACACAUUUUAAUAUAGAACUCACAAUGUUCAAUAAAUUAAUGACAAUUGACUGCAUAUUAAGUACAUAUUUUAUUAAAUUAAAUUAAUUAAACAAAUUUUAUAUUUCUUUUGUAUUUAUUUUUAUUGUCUUAAUAUUUUGUACGGAAAUUCUAUAAACACAUUUUGUUUUAUAUCGUAAUAGUUUUUUACUAUUGGUUUUUGAUGUUUUAAAUUUAAUUUUUAAUAAAUUCGAUCAGAUAAUAGUUAUUAUAAUAAUUCUAGAAUAGGAUAAAAACGAUUGAUGAAUAAAUUUAAUGAAAUGGAUUUUUUAGGAAGAUGUCUACACUGAGUAAAAGAUAAAAAUAUACAGAUAAAAGAGGUUAAAAUGGGUUACUAAAAAAAACCCGUAAGAUGUUUUUCUUUCUUUUGGUAAGAAUGUGUAAUAUUAUCAAUAUUGCCCUUUGAUUUUCAGAACAGUUUUUGAACCUAAUAUGAAAUACUUUUAUCUUAUUUCCUUUUUCUUUAAACCUCUUACGUUGUUUCGCCAUGAGAACGAUCAACAUCUGGUAGUUUCCUCGUAACUUUUAACUUUCUGGAACAGAAUUAUGCUAUUGUAUAUAAUGGAUUUGUGGUAUACUCAUAGUGUAUAGAUACCCUUUCCGAAAAAAUAUUGUCGAUUUAUUAGAUAAUAAUGCAAUCCUACUAAUUAGUUUUAUAUUACACGUGUGUGUAUUAAACUGUCUAAACGUUUCCAGUACUUACAUUUUCUAAUUGUUAUUUAAUUAAUAUAUGUUUCAGACCCAUCGAUAGAAGAAGAGAGAAUUGUAUUGGAUCCUUGGUGGUUUACCUGCAGGUAACGUAAUAUUAUAAUAUUUAAAUAUUUUCUUAUAGACUUAAUUGUAUAAAUUGUUAUACAACGUUGUAAGCGAUUUGGACUGGUCACAAUGCAGACAAUGGUGCAAAGCAAAUUUAUAUUUGUGUCUUUUACAUCCAAUCGCAUGUAUGUGGACUCGUGCUCCAUAGUUCAUAGUUGUGCUAUACAUUAUGAAAUAAUAUUACAUUUGAGAUUUCUAAUUUUUAUGGAUAAAAUAUUAUGCAACUAAAUAUUGUUCAGUUUAAUUUAUUCACCUAUAUUAAUAUACAUAGUCAAUAAAAUUAUGUACAUAUAUAAAUACAAAAACCAUAACCUUUCAAUCUAUUUAACUUUUAUUAGUCAUAUUAAUAAUACAUAAAACAUAUUUGGUUACAUUAUGUUAAGUGAAAUAAAAGUUAAAACGUAUACUUGGAGUGUGGAUGACGUAUCUUAAUUAGAGUAUAAAGUAAAAUUGAUAGAUGAAGGCGUUAGGCAAACAUAAUAUAGCAGCUGUGGGUGUGAUAUUAUAGGGUACAGAAUGGCAGACUUAGAAAUAAAAACCAUAUCGUAAUUAACUGUUAAAACACGAGGAACUGCUAUAGCGGUAAUGGAAGGGGUAAAAUGCAAAACGUCUGUUUACGUGGUGACAAUGACUAAUAUAAUAAUAAAAGAAUUAUAAAAAAUAAAGUUUUUACUAGGUAUUGUAAUUUUAAGAAAUAUUCUUGUAUUUAAUACAUUGAUUAAAAAGUAAAAAGUAAGAGUAUUGGGUUGUCGAAAAUUUAAAUUAAUAUUAAUUCAAUAGCCUAUGAUUAGAGUAUAUUAAUAUUAAUUUUAGUUUAUAUUAUAAAUUACAUUAGACAAAAAAUGUUUAGAAACUUAAAAUUAACUAUUGCUGUACAGUAUACAUAUUAUGAUAUCAUAAGUCAUCACAUCUAUAAAUAAUACGGUAUAGUGUCCCUAUAAACUUCUUGAUGAGUGUGGGUAAAACUUUAUAAUGUUUUUUAUAGGUUUAUCAUCACGAUGUUGAUGAUUAUUACUCAUAUGUUGUUAGUUGUGUGACGUUAAUUAUUUUUGAAAUUGGUGCGAGUUGUUUAGUGCUCGUCAAUGUCUUCUAAUGAAUACUACAUAGGUUUUCCCGUAAAAUUUGUUAGACGCUUUUUGAUCUUUCGCAUUUUAGUCACGCUCUAUGGAUAUUAAUUAUAAUUGAUAAAUAUGUUUAUUUAGUAUCGAUUGUGCUUUAAUUAAGUGUAAAAAAGUUAAUCUUCGUCGUCAAUGCAUUUUAUUUGCGACCUUAUUGAUUUUUUUUUUGUUUUCUCAGUUAGUUUAGAUACUAAUUAAAUGAUUUUUAAAAAAGUUUGAUUAGAUAAUAGAAUAAUUAUCCGGUGUUAGAAACAAAUAGAUAAACCAUUAGAUACGGUUUGAUUUUUGAUGUAUGCAAAUCAAAUUUAAAGUUUUCGCCAUAACAGGUUAAUGGAGGAGUAGGGUUUUCGAUAAGUUCGUUGGCUACUGUUAAUGUUAUUACAGUUAUUAGCGAUAUUUUACGGUAUCUCACCGAACCCUACUGACGUGGCGUCUUUCUGAACAAGAAACAUUUACGGAUUCGCAAUAAGUCUCUCUCGCGUGCGUUUUGUUAAAACAAGUCACGUAUGUUUAGUAGAAAGGUAAAAAAAUUAGGAGCAAAAAAUCGCUGAAAAAGUGUAAAGAACGCGUUUAAAUUGAGUGCGUGAAAAAAAAAAUGUAAUACAUAGCAAGGCAAUUUGUAAGGUCUGAAGAUACAAGAUAACGGACUGAUUUUCGACUUAAUGGUACGGCGUCGCUGCUGCAGCUUUAUAUAGCUGCUGAUAUGCUUCUAUAUAGAAGCUACCCUUCGAUAGUCGAUCGAACCCAAUAAUGAACACGAAUCACAUUGACCCCCCCCUAUGAAUGAGUAAUGGGUUUAACUUUAUCAUCGUUAUAUUAUACACCCCGCGUUUUCUUCCUAUAAUAUUUUAUUUAUUUCGGCGGACAAUACAUCUCAAUGUGAUGACCGACCGACUGAAUAUACACCCGUGACGAAGAAACUUAUAGAUAUUAGAGAUAUCAAUAUAAAAUAAUAAACAAAAGCGAAACUUUCGAUUCAUAUUAGAUAACAUAUUUUAGUCAAUUUACGAUGACAAUAUCUAUAUUUUGCAAUCUUAUCUUUACACAUUACAUUAACAUUUUAUAUUUAUUUAAAAAUGUAUUAAUUCUUCUAGAGAAACUAUAAUAAAGUUUUCUGCAAAUUGUCACGUAAAACAUAAAUAGCUAACUAAAAUAAAUCAACAAAAAGAUCUUUAUUGAUGAUGCUUGUAAAUACAUAUUUUUGCUUUACAGACACUGACUAUACAGAAUAGGAAACAAGGUCGGAGAUUUUUGUUCUUAUAAAGUUCAUUUAUUACAAAAUAGGUUAUAUUAUUUAUUAUUCAUGGAAAUGAAUAUUUGAUACAGCAGAAUAUUAUUAUAAUAUUUAGAAAUUUUACAUCGGAGGUAGGGUCUAAUUUUUAAUUUUAGGCUGAUCAUUAAUUAUAAAUGUUAAAUACAUUUGAUAUGUAGAAGUGAUCUUAUUUUACUUAUUAUUACUUAGAUUAUAAUACAAAAUCUAACCUUUUUGGACUUAAAGUUAAUUCGUUUAUAAUUUCAUCCACAUUAAGAUGUAGGUCUCGAUAAAUGGAUAGCAAUGCCACUCUAACCUAACCUUGCCUAUAUAUAUAAAAAAAAAAAUAAAAUAUUGCAGUAAUAAAAAAUUUAAAAACAACAUAUAAUAUAUUAUGACUUAAUUUAUUAUAGAUCUUAAGCAUGUUUUUGACCUUUUUAAUGUUUUUUGUUAUCACCUUUAACAUUGGUAAUGCACAAAAUUAAAUUUUCCAUGACUGUGUGCCAUUCUUCCACCAGGCAUCGUAGUUUAACACAGUUUUGGGGAUAUAUAAAAGUAGUUAUCAAUAUAGCUGUCUACAUUGAUUUUAUUUGCCACGGGAGGUCCAAAUUCCAUAGACUCUCCUCGAAACGCACUACUGAAAAUAUACAUAAUUGUCUUGUAUAAAAUAUAUUAUUAAAUACAAUUUGGUUUGGUUUUUCUUAUUCCCCGUUAAUUUUAAUAGUUAUUAAUUCUGGUUUUUAUUUUUUCUAACCAUUUUCAAUAUUUAUUAUUUAUAUUACAGAUAUUUUUAAUAUUUACUCCUGAGAGGUAAAAUAUUUUAAUAAUUUUUUCACUAUUUUUCAGUAUUGAAACAUUAUCGUAAUAUACGAUCAAGUCUAUAUAUUGACCGUAUUUUCGAUUUUCAAUUUUUCCCGUAUAGUCGGCGGUGUGUGGUGCGGCGGGGCGCGAACCGAUAGCCAAUUUAAUAUACGUGGGUAGGUAUAAUUCGUUACGUAUACGUAAUAUUUAUAUACAUACUAUAUAGGUUUUGAACGCGGUAGAGGGCAAAAGGUUCGAGGUAAUUUGUACGCCAAAAUAUAAUAUAUCAUAUAUAAUAUAUAUGUAUAUAGAAAUACACUUGGAAAUUGAACGUUAUCACUCGGUGUCCACCGGCGAGUAAUAAAUUCCGAGAGCUUGAAUAUUAUCAGAAAAUUGAACCAGGUUAACCCUGUGCGACGUUCCACACACACGUAGGUACUCGAGUCGGGAUGAGAAUAUAUGUGUUUGUGUGUGUGUGUGUGUGUGUGUAUGUAUGUAUGAUGUGUAAACAUGGUUAAAUAUAUAUAUGUGGGAAAAACAUUCUUGUGUACGAGGUGUAAAAUUAGUAGAGUUUAUCUGUAUCCAACAGCACAGUCUUUUUUUCGGGGUUCAAUUUUUCAACGGUUCAACGGGAUCUUUUAUUACCUGCAUGUCCUCCGGACCUACUCUAACGGUCUAUAGUAAAAACGCAAUAAAUUACUCAACGAUUUUUAUAAAUAUUAUACUUUACGAACGUCGUCCAAAAAUAUCAAAUACAAUUUUUUUUUAUCGUUUUUACUAUAUAUUUUAAAUUAUUACUCUUAUAUAAUUACUGCAGCGUGGAACAUAAUAUUAUAUAGAAUAUAAAUCUAAAUAUUAUUUAUAAAAAAAAGGCUAAUAAUUCUAAUGGAUGUAUCAUCGUUUUAGGAAGGAAGUUAGAAGGAAAGAUAUAAUAUAGAGUAAUUUAAUUCACAUAACCUGCAUAUCUGUAUGCAACGAUAAGCUAUUACUAAUGAAAAACAAUUCUGAGCAAAAGAUUAUUAGUCGUUUUUUUCCUUACUGUUAAGGUUACCAAAUUCCCAGUUUUCUUAUCUAGCCAAGACAAGACUAGUCCUCUUUAAUGUAGGUACCAAUUAAAGACAGAUACGACAAGAAAGUUCCUACCUUUUUUUAAUUGGAAGUUUAGGUGAAACCAAUACGUUCUUCGUUUCCCUUAGAAUCUAAACAUAAUAGGUAAAAUUUAUCUACAUUUGUGUUAUUAUUUUUUGAAUAACAAAGAAUAAAAAUCAUGACUAAUUAUCAAAAAUUAUUUCUUCAAUGCACUAUGACUAUACAACAUUUGAACAUGAUUUCUGAUCAAAAAGAUAUUUUUGAAUAGAAAAAAUAAUAAAAUCAGAAAUAUACAAAUUGAGUUAGAUUUUCAAACGAUACCAGUUUCUGAAAUAGACCAUUUAAACACACGAGUAAUAAACGAAGAAAACAUAAGUCAGAAAAGUUUUCUCGUGGUUUUUGUCAUAAGUUGGUAAAAACGGAUAAUAAAUGUUUACCAAAAACAAAAGUAGGAAAACUCACACAUUUCAUCCGUCAAAAAGUUUAAGGAGUUCUGUGCAUAUAAGUAUAUUUUUGGUGAUAUAUUAUGUUUUAGUUUUUCAAUAUUCGUAUUAUAAUACGAUUGGAUUCAUUUUAUUUAUUUGUUCUUUUUUUUUUACGUUAAUAUUAUUUUUUAAAGUGCAUCAAAUCAAGUAGUAGCCUACAAUAGAAUUUGUUAAUCAUUUGAUAAUAUUAAAUUUUUCAUAUUGAAAUAAUAUUAGUGGUCUCUUAAAUGUAUUCAGUAUUCAUAUAAAUUUGAACUACGUUCAAAAUAAUUACAAAUAUUCUUUUAAAUAGAUUAGAAGCAUUUUUUUUAAAUACAUAUUGUCACAUGUUAUACAUUUAUUUAUGUUUAAAAAAUAAUUGGGGUGUUAUUUAAUAUUUAUUUUGUCAUUUUAAACUUGUAUACUACAAGUUGUAUUUUAUAUAUUAGGAUUUUUAUUGCAUUAUGUGCAAGUAACACGAUAUUAAAAUAAAACAAAUUGAUACUAGGGAUGGAUGUGACCAUUAUUUUAGGUAGGUAGUUGGGAAGAUGGGAUACAUUAAGUUAUUUUUUUUAAACCUGUAAACAACGAUAAACUAUUGCUAACAAAAAACUGUUUGGAGCAAAGUAACGGUUAUAUUCGGUUUCAUAUCGGUUAUGAUUUGAAUGGCAGUAACAGUUAUAAUUUGUGUCAACAUUUUAUUUUAAAACUCUUAUAAAAAAAAAAAAUUUGCAUUUCACAAAAUUUUUGGUUUGACCACUGAGUAUGAUUUAUAAUAAUCCUCCUGUCAAAUUUUCAAGCAUUUUUUAGUCUAACGAUUUUAUCCAUAUUUUAUUCUAUUAAAUAAAAAUUACGUUACGAACUCGUAAAAUUAAAAUAUUUAUAAGUAGCUCAAAAAUGGCUUAAAUGUUUUGAAAAUGGUCCCAUGUUGAAAAAAUAAAUAUAAGUUUUCUAACGAAAUGGCUGAUAUUUACAAUUAUUUUUAACUGAAUUACAAUUAAAAUAUAAAAUUUAAAACAAAAAAGAAUUAUUUUUGUAAAUUUCCCUGUUUUUUCUACGUAUUUCCGGGUUUGCCCAAUUAUUAAAAAAUCUGCGAAGGAAAUAAAAAAAAAAAAACGACUUUCUUGUUCACCAACUAGAUUAAAAAUUCAACCCCAAAAGAUUUCUUGUUGUUUUAUAUUGAAGAAAUAUUCUUGGUAUAAAACGGAAGGCGUUUAAAAUUUUAAACAAUGAAACUGUUGUAAUGAUGUACAUUUUUUCAGUUUUAAUUUUACGUUUUUUUUCGAUAUUUCUUAAUUAUCAUAAAAACUAUCAUAUAAAUCAAAUAAAGAAUUACUCACUUACGGACUAAAUUAUAAAUGCAACAAAUGUCGUUUUUCUAUCGGAGCAAUAUAUUAUGAUAGAAAACAUAAGCCGUACAAAUCUAGGAGACAUUCAAUUAUUACAAUGAGAAAUCAUUAUUAACAAAAUAUGAUUCUUAAGGCUGUCUGGUUAAAUAUAAUAUUUUUAAAUUAAUUUAACGAACAAUGAAUUCGUAUAUGUAUCAUAGUUAAACGAUUACUUUUUUUACUCUGCUAAGAAUCUAAAAAUAUUUAAUAAAUUCUUUUAGAACUAAAAAUUAAUCAUUUAAUGUAAAACGGUUCAUAAGUUAUAUUAUGAAUUAUAUUAUAUAUUAUAUAAUGUUCGUCCAAUUCAUUUUUUUUUUUUAGAGUAAAGUCUGUUCGUUUUGUUUUUAUGUAUAUUACUUUCCAGUUAUAUCCGUUUGCUCAACUACGUAGAUCGUAAAGUCUAAUGCAGUUUCAGCUUUUGUGGCACCUUAUCCUCUUUUAUCUCUCUUCUAUUUCGUAGUAAAAGGACGGCCAGUCAUGUAUAAGAUCUAAUUACGUUCACACGGCGAAUUAUAUAGGCAAUAAACCGUCGUGACUGUGAAUUUGCACGUGUGUAAGCAUAAUAGUUUCUCCUGUUUUACUCGUGUGUAUAUUAUACAUCUUUUAUAAUGCAACUAACAAUAAUAAUUUUAAUAGACGCGUAGAUAUCUUGUAGUGAAUAUAAAUAUAUAGUUUUUAGAAUUGUGAUUAAAUCGUCUAUAACAAACAUUUCGUAUCAUUUUUACGAUUACAAUACACGGUGAUGGCAAUUUCGAUUAAUAGCUAAUUUGCUAUCUAUGCCAAAACGUACCUAAUAUGUAAAUUGAAUUUAUAUUUAAUAUAAAUAACACAAAAAAAAAAAAAUGUAUUAAUUUUUAUUAUAUCAUUUGAAUAACAUUUUUUAUUAGGAAUCAUAAGUUAUAAAUGUAUGUGAUAUAGAUUUAUACGACAUCCCUGUAUUACGUCACACUAUUCGGUGUAUAGCUUAAAUACUAUAUAUAGUUUUCAUCUCAUUUGUCAAAUAGUUGUUUAUAUACAUAUACACAAAAAAACCUCGGUUGUUCCGUUCGGUCGGGCAAAUGCCACCCCAUUCAUCAUUUGUAUACGUAUUCAUUUUUUCUAAACCACCUCUGUCUGCUGGCCUAGCUACAACCAUUAUAUAUUUCAAACGUUUUAAUUUUUUUCAUCUACUCUUCAUUUGGUCUCAUUUCAAUUAAUUAAAACACACACGGCUCGCUCAUAUUAUAUUAAAAUAUAUAAAUGAAACAUUUGAACCAGAUUAUUAUUAUUCAUUAUGAUAACUAUUUAAGUUUUAACAGUUACGAAAAAUGUUUUGUUUCUUAAUUUAUAGCCACACUAAAAUUAUGCAUAAUAUUUGAUUUAUUCAGACAUUUGAAUUACAAUGGUGAUUGAUUGAUUAUUAUGGUAAUUAAUUGUAUUUCAUUAGGUUUUAUAACCGCCAGAUAUUUGUAAAUUUUAUGAAUUUAUAGUUUGUAUUCUUGAGUGUGUUUGUGUUGUUUGCAAAUAAUACUAAUUAUAAUUAUUAAAUAUAUACUAUUAAUACGUGUAGGACUUAUACUGUAGGUACUUAAUAUUAGUCUAUAAAAAAAAAUUAUUUUCGAAUAUAAUAUACCACAUGAAUACAAAAAUAAAUUGACAAAACAAUUUCGAAUAUCUUUAAAUUAUUUUUAUUAAUAUUUAGAUUGACAAAUUAUUGCAUACGAAAAACUUAGUGUGUAUUGAUUUUUUUGAAAUUGUACUUAGAACGAACAUACGAGCAUCUUAUAUACUUUGUGGUAAUAUUAUUAAUGGUAUUUUUCAAAAGGGUUUUAAUGAGAUCUAUCUAACUGAUGAGUAUGUAGUUUAGACAAAUUCUUAUGCUUUUGUUCACUGGUUAGGAAAUUGUUUGGUUAGACUGUUGUUGACGUUGAGUAGGGAACGUAAUUAAUGUAGAGUUCACAUGAAGAAUAGAAAGUAAAUUGACGUCUUGGCAUAUAGUAAAUUGGAAUUUCAAAUUAAGUUCAUUUUAAAUAUUAAACUGUAUUCUGUAAUUGAGGAUGAUAAUUCAAAUAUCAAGAGAUUAUUACAAUUGCAGGUUUGAAGAAGUGUAGAAUUAUAAUAUUUUACAUUAAAAACCUGUGAUAAAAAAAAAAAAAUUGUAUAGUUCAGACAUUUAGGUUAUUUUAAAGUGGGGUUUAUCCAUAUUUAUAUGAUAUAGCUAUGGAGUUAUAUCAAAAAUCAUCAUUAAAAUGAUCGAAGAAUUUUUUGAUGAAAACCUAAAAAUUAUAGUUGUUCGUGUAUUUUCAAUUAGACCUAGAAGUUAGCAAGUAGUUUUCAUUAAACUUUUCGUUCUCUGUGUGAUGAAAUAAGUUUUUCAAUGUGAACGUAACUUUUAACAAUAUCACCCAGAGUAGUAAUAGCCUUCCGGAACUGUUAUUUUUCUUUUAAUCAUUCCCUUUCUUAUUUUUAUUAGACAUGCAACGGAAUUUUUCGAGUUCGUAGCAACCUUGGAGCCUAACGAAUUGAUUUCGUUAAAAUUUUAAUCGACAAAUUAGAACUAAACAGCCGCAAUAUUUAGUUUCCGUAUUUUAAAAUAAUUAUAAUUCAACAUGAUACGACGUGAGACAGACUGUUUUUGAUAAAUGUACGUUUUUCACAUUUCCACCAUUACCUAUAUUAUAUAAUAUAUACUAGGUAUUUAAACGUCAUUUUAACAUUCCCUCUCAGGUUCGUAAGUUUUAAAUAAUUGAAUGGCGUAUAAUAUGUAAGCUCUGUUCCAAUUAAAACCUUAUUUAUUAGUUUACAGUAGAAAAUACGGAAUGUUGUAUAGUUGACAUUUAUGAAUAUCAAAUAUUAUAUGUUUACUGUAUAGGUACGGUAUUAAAUGGUUCUUAUGAUUAACUAAUCUUUCAAACAAUACAUGUUUUGUACAUAUAUAUUUAUUUUAAAUUUGUAUAUAAGUAUUGUUGCUUAUCGUCUACUACGUGGUCUAUAUCUUAUUUUCAUAUGUAUAUACAUCUUUUCUGUGAUUCAAACUUUCUUUAUUUUAUACUUGUUAUGGUAUACUCGAUGUUAAACAUCAUGAUAAACAAAUUUGAUGAUAAACAAAUUAGACUUUGAAGAGGUUUUAUAUGUUGUACUUUAACAUUGUCGUACGUAUAUUUUAAUUAAAAAAAAAAAAAACAAAUUAAACGAAAUUGAAAUAUAUUUUAUACCUAGAUAUUCUAUUUUAAUUUAAAAACAAAUAUUACCAAGUUUUUAUUUAUGACUUUUAUAAUACAUAAUAUCAUGUAAUUGUUUAUUCGUAUAAUAAAAACACUGCAGUUAUAUUAAAUACAAAGACGCUUAUCAAUUUAUUUUAUUAAAAUAAAGUCUGUCAAGUUUGUUUUGUAGUUUCUGUAGACUAUUAUUAGUGUAAUUCACCAUUUGUUGUGGAAUUAAAUAAUAGUAAACUAUUUUUGUAAAGUUACUGUAACAAUCUUGUUUAUACGUUUUAAAUAUUUAUUAUUGAAUAAUAUUAUUCUAAAUUGCAUAAUACAAUUAGCAGUGGAAAUUUCAAGUAUAUGUAUCUGCAUUUGGUCGGAUAUGAACGGGAUUUUUAAAAUUGGUCAAUACAUUUUAUGUUUUAAACUUUCCGAGUUAAACUUUAAAUUUAUUGCAAAUAAACAAAAUUAUAAACAUAAAUAUGUCUUAUUAUAUUUCUAUUUCAAACCUAUAAUAACUUGUAUCAUGGGUAUCUAAUGUGUAUGAAACAAGGCGAAUGGGGCGCACCUGCAGAGUUAAUUAAAAAGUUUUUCCGAAAAAUAACGAGCUCAUCCACAUCUUCAGUCAUAGGUACUAUGUUGGCCAAGGCUAUUAAAAAUAACGGCUGGAGUUUUAAUGGGUGUAAAAAGAAAAAAAAAUGAGAACGAGAGAGAAAAAAGGAUAUACUUAGGGACCGUUUUACUUGUGAAAACCGUCCAUUGGGAUGUUAUACGUGACCGAAAAGGAUUUCACCGUAAGUCCGCAUUAACGAGGCGGGGACUUAUGAAUUCCAUGCAAAACCUAAAUAAUAAGUUGAAAAUUUUAAUCGUUUAAAGCCAUGUGGUGUCGUUACACGAAGUAUUAUAGAGAUACGCAUUUUUUGUAAGACCACCAACUAAAUGAAUCCGACAAGUAAACAAGAUUGGUUUUUUUACUAUUAUUUUCAGAUCAAAUAAGAUUACUGAAAAAAAAAAGAAAUACGAAAUUCGGUAAUUUUUAUGGUAAAAUUGUUUUUAAAUAUAAUAAUUGACGAUACGAAAAUCCAUUACGACUGUAGAGCUCGAAAUUAUUAAUACUUAACAUUAAUGAUCAACGUUUCUUGAUAUUAUAAUGUAUCCAGAUUUUCGUUAUUGUCAUCUCAACCCUUUUUUUUUUUUUUUAGGAAUCUACAAUUGUUAAUUGUAUAAGAUAUUUGAUACACUAUUUUUGAAACUAUUUUACAUGAAAAGAAGAAAAAAAAAAUAAUAAUACAUUUCUCUGCUCUGUCACUCUGCAAAGGACAUCAAUUAAAUUGAUAAAAUAUCAUAGUGUUGUGCGGCUUUACAUAAUUUGUGUUGUGUAAUUCAUAUAUACAUAUAAUAUAUUGAAGUAUACUUUAUAAGUAACUUAACGUGUCUUAUUACACAUUUCUUAAAUAAAUAUGGAAAUUAAAUAUGCAUUCGACAUGAUGGAAAUUCUAAUGACACACAGUUAAACCGAAUAGUGUUCCAUUAAUAAUGUAUUCCAUUUUAUUAGGUAUAAAACAACGCAUAUAACUCGAGAGAAAAGGUUACUCUAAUAAUAAUUUGUACAAUAUUACAUUAUCAUAAUUUAUUUUAGACUAAAUAAAAUUAAGUCGUUGUUACAUAAUAGAGUUUUAACGUGUACUUAUACAAUAAAUACGAAUACACGUGCAAGACGAUAUACUAUACGAAAUAUUAUGUAUUUUAUAUAUUCAUUAAAAUUAAAAAAAAGCAAAUUAAUAACGAUAUUGUUAUAAUUAUAAUAAUUUUAAUAAUUCUUAUAAUUUAAUUUUAAUUCGAUUAUACAAAUAAGUGGUAAGGAAUGUAUUCGUUUUACAAUGGUGUAUAUUAUUAUUAUUUAUUUGUUAUCAAUGUAUAAGUUUUCUACUAGAAAUCUUGCUCCGAUUUUCAAGUGUGGUCAAUUUUCUGAAAGAAAACUGUGUCUAGGUGGUACUUUAAGAAGACCAGUUUUUGGUUUUUCAAAUGAUUUUCAUAAUAAUUGGAAAAAACCCUCAAAAUUUACGUACUUCUAUAAAUAAACUUCGCUCUGAAUCGUUUUUUGUCAGCAAUAGUUUAUAGUUGUGUACAGGUAUAAAUAAAAUUCCUCUCUAUAUCUUACCUUCUCAACUUUUCACUUAAAACAGUGUCCCACCCAUCGUCCAAAGUAUAAUAAGUGUGUACAUUUGUUUUUCAAAUAGGAUCUCCCUUUCGAACACAGAUUUUAAUAGAGGCUAUUUUUAUAUAAGCUUUGAUAUUUAUUACACUAGUAUCAGAUUACAGUUUAUGAGUUAUAAGUGUUUAAAGUUUAGACUGUAGGAGUAAGAAAAGGUCAUACAUUUUUAUACCUACGUUUGAAUAAUAAAUUGGUAACUCUUCUCUAUAAAUGAGUUAAUAAUAAGUUGGCAGGAGUUAUUAAAAUAAUUAUAAAUUAUUCUUAAUCGGUAAUUAUCUAUUAUAGCUAUUAUUUAUAGAACUAUGAUAUUCAAAAAUGAAUAAUAAAAUAAAAUGUUUUUAAUUCAUCCUAACUUUUAACAUAUUUGAUAGAUAAUUAAGCCCAAGUUUGGCAAAAUCACAAAUAAUACAACAUUUACUAUUGUUUUUACUAUGGAAUAUAUAUACAUUUUAGAUUCUGAGUGGAGCGAAGAAGCUUAUGGUUUUAUAAAGAUGUUUAGUUUUAAUUUUUUUUUCUGUGGACUCUUUUCUACUAGAGAAUUUGUUUCGAAUGUGUUUGUGGGGAAGUACUUUACAGCGAUCGUUUUCAAUUUUCUCAAGAGUUUUCCCAGCAAAUGUGAAAAACCAAGAAAAAACAUUAGAAAACCAGGAAAAAUCGAUACAUUAAACAAAUAUUAUUAAAGACAAUAUAUAAUGCCUUUUUAAUUAAUUAGCCAUAAUAUCAUAUAUAUAUAUUGUUGAUAAAGUAUUACUAUUAACUGAACUCCGCUCAGAAUCGUUUUUUCGUUAGCAAUGAUUAAUCGAUGCUAAAAGAUAUACAUUAAAUACCUGUAACAGUGGCUGCACCUGUUCUUAUUAUCCUAGGACGUCUUUUUUUUUCAGGACCACUUUUUGGAGUAAUAAAUAUUCAUAAAUUCUUCAUAUAGGGAUAUUAAUUGGGAGGCUAAGCGUGUAUUCCUUCGGUACGUUUAAAGAGAUUAUUUUUAAAAUUUUCUGUGGAACCAUUCAGUUUAAAGUAGGUAUGUAUUCGUAAACGCAACAGAAAAAAAAAUAGAAGCCAACGCGUUUAAAUCGAUUCUAUGUUUCACUUAUUUUAAUUUUUCACUUAAUUUUAAUUUUGAAAAAAUAUGUGGGUUAUUCUUCGAUUUUUUGUCUAAAUUUUGUAGGAAACAUUUGUGAAUUUUUUUGAUUUAGUUAAUUUAGUUUAAAUACAUAUGAGUUUUUUUCAUAAUAUAAAUUCGUACUUAGAAAUAUCACAAAGAAAUAAAAAAAAAAUAAGAUAAAAUAUUUUUCCAUCAAAACAUAAACAAAAAAAUUAUGAAGUCAAAUCAUUUUUAGUAAAAGUAUGUUUAUUUUAUUAAAACUUAUUUGUGUUAAUGUAUAAAAAAAUCCAAUUCUUAUUAAUCAAGUACUUUAAAACUAAUUGUUUUAAAAUAUAUUGUCUUGGUUAUUGUAUAAUAGCACAAGGAAAAAACAAGAAUAUCGUUAAGACAAUUUUGAAAAUAAUAUAAUUUCAUCUAAGUAUUAUGUUUUCGGUAUUUAUGAGUUUUAAUUAAACACUUAAUAUCUUUCUAUUUUUUACUUCUGCUUUUUUUUUGAGGCGAAAUGACUUCUAUACUUUUGAUUUCAUAUGGCUAAUCAAAAAUUCCAACACUUAAAUUUAUUUAAACUACUAUUCAAAUUCCAUCUAUUUAUACAUUUUGUUAUAAUGUUGUCAUUUUAAAAUCAAAAGUAGACUGUCUUUUUUUCUCAAAAAAUAAUGUUAAUAUAAAAUUAGAGAGCUGUCUGUUUCUUAAAAGGUAAAAAUCUUUUAUUUUUUGAAAAAGUAAAUACUUAUCGAAAUAUCAAGUGUAUUGGAUUAAAUAAACCACUCUGUAUUAUACUAUUACUCUGCUGUAAAAUAGAUCGUACGGAUGCGUUGUGUUUGUUAUUUUCGUGAUAGUAAUUAUCAACGAGUGGCGGACCCAGCUUAGUUAUAAAUUGUAUUUCUGUGAUCUUCUUACAUAAGUUCUUGUGAUUUUUAUUUUAUAUAUUGAGGUCGGAUGUCUAUAAUAAAUAAAAGUUCGUGCGUUUCAAAUUGAACCUUUUACUUCUGACAUAAUAUUUUAUAGGUUUUACCUCCAUAAUAUUAUAAUAACAUUAUAACGAUUAUUAAGACCGAAUGAUCGAUGUAUAAAAACAAUGUUAAUUAUAUUCACUUUCAUUAUUCUUAUAAUAUUAUGUUUAAAAAAUUUGAUUAUGUAAUUGUUCAAAAAUAAUUAAUUAUUUGUUAUUAAUCUUAUUUAUACGAACAAUUAUAUUAUGGUAUUUUUAACAUAAUAAGACACGAGGUAAUCGAAAAUCACAAUAAUAAUAAAUUCCUUACUAAAUAAAAUAAAUGUCUUGUUGAAAAUGGGAAAAUCUAUUAUUAUCACUUGAUCAAUGUAAUUAGAAUGCACAAUUGAUAGUGUAAGUUAGGUUAUAUGUGGACAAAUAAAAUGGGAUUGUGUUGAUGAAAAUAACUGGAGAAAUGUGAAAUAGUUAUAGCACGUGUGUAAUGUGUAUAGUUAAUAAAAUACUUUUAAUAUUAUUUUUUUUGUGUGUGAGUGACUUAGUUAUAGCGAUGCAUCUUGAUAAACGUUUUGCCGGGAAUUUCCAAAGUUGAGAAAUUUGUUACGUAUGGUGAUAAGGGAAGCGAAACUUGUGGACAGGUAAAUAUCGAUCAAUCUUUGUACCUUUGACAGCCUCUAUUUCCUAUCGUUAUGUUAAUAAACGAUCUCCGGGGAGACACCGUCUUAUCAAUUCGCCCAAAUGUUUCAAUUAUUUUAAACUUUUUAAAUGCAGUGACGUUAUAUAUGUAUGUAUAAUUGUACAUUGUAUACAUUUUUUUUAAAACUCGUUUUUAUAACAAAAAUAAAAAAAACUAAGUGACGUUUUAGAAAAUUGGCAAAAUGUUAUUUAUUAUAAUCUUAAGUAUCAAGAUUAAUCGGAAAAUAUCAAUCGUGUAUAUAAAGUUAUAGGCACCAAAUGAUGACAGCACAUAGUGACUGUGUCUAUGUUCAUUAUUAUUGUUUAUUUUAUAUAGUAUAAUUAAAAUAUAACUGUACACUAUAAUAUUUAAAUUUAAAUUUAUAUUUUAAGAAAAUGACAUUAAACAACACAGGUUUACAAUUUUUCGAUUUUAGAUUCUAAGAGGAACGAGGAAACUUAUGGUUUUACAAAGAUGUUUUUUUUUUUUUUUUAUCUGUGAACAUCUUUUUUACUGAAGAACUUGAUUCGGUUUUUACUUGUAGUACCUUUUCUGAAAAAAAAUUUCACUGGAGGGGAGGUACUUUAAGAAGGUCGUUUUUUGAUUUUUUCCGGAAUUUUCUCAACAAAUUUGAAAAGCUGAACACACAUUUUGGAAAACCGGGAAAAUCAGUAUAUUAUACAAAUAUUAAAGAUACAUUAAAAACAAUAAAUAAUACCCAUUACAUUAUUUUACCAUAAAAUGACAAACAUAUUGUUAAGAAAGUAUCACUAUUAAUAGAACUCUACUCAGCAUCGUUUUUUCGAUAGCAAUGGUUAAUUGUUGCUAAGAAAUAUAUAUUCAAAUAUCUCUAACAGUAGCUGUACCCGUUUUCCUUAUCCUAGGACGUAUUUUUUUUUUCUUCAAUGAUUUUAAUAUAAUUCGUGACUAAUUUUACUAUAAUCAUUAUUAAAUUUAAUACACUUGACAACUACGUAGUUUAAUUAAUUCGGUAUGUCGGAUAUUUAAUUAUGAAAAACUGAAUACAGUUUGUAUUCGUUCACUACAAACUACAGAUAAGGAAUUGAUUAAUGUGUGCCGUCCAUCCGAAUUUAAUCGUCCUCGUUUGUCUCUAAGACAGCUAGACCUAAGUAAUUUCUUUCAAAGAAAAUAAAUACCCGUUACUGUCCGGACAAAACUAUAAUAUAAUAUAAUAGUUCAGGGUUAUGCGAAAGGAAUGAAAAAAAAAAUAAUCUCGAAAAAAAUAUAGAAAAUUCUUUUAUUAUUAAAUUUUUUUUUAAAUGUAAUUCAGUUUAAAAUAUUUAUAUUUGUAUAUAAUACCUGAAAAUUGAUAGAAAACUUGUAUUUGCAUUUCAUAGACGUGGUAAAACUUUCAAAACAUUUGAGCCAUUUUUGAGCUAUUUAUAGACAUUUUUAUUUUGCUACCUUUUUGCUUUUUUUAGUAGGUACUUUAUGUAUAAAAUUGUUAGAUUAAACAAUAAUGCUUGCAUAUUUGAUAGGAGGAUCAUUAUAAGUCGUAUCUUGUGAUGAAAAAACAAUUAUUUAGUGUAAUUUAUAGUAUUUUAAUUUUUUUUAAAAGAGUUUUGAAAUCAAAUUUUGACGGAAGUCGUAAAUAUUACGACCUUUCAAAACAUAUAUGCCCAAACUUAGCUUCUAACCGUUUUUGUUAACAAUGGAUUAUCGUUGAUUACUGGUAUAAAUUAAAUAACUAAAUGUUUCUCACCGUCCCCAUUACUCACCUACAAUAGUGGCCAUACUUGUUCUUUUCUUAUUAUUUUUUAAUGUGGUUUAGGAAUAAUAUAGUAGUUUUUUCGGGGAAAAUGUGCUCGUGAUAGUUAAGGGUAUAAGAAAUAUUAUAUACUUGUACGUCAUGCGGUUACUAUAUGCAAGUUAUGUAUUUAAAUUUACUCAUGUUUUUCGAUGCGUUAGUCAUUUUCAAUAAAUUUAUUAUAACUUUGUGUUUAUUUUUUAUUUCGAAUGAUGAACAGGACAUCAUUCAGUUAUUGGUUUUUGGUGGAGACCAAUUAACUCAGAUAAUUUUUCACAUAUGAUACGUAGCUUUCUUUUAUUUUUUUUUAGUAUUUUUUUUUUUAAUGCAUUGGGAGUGUAUGUUAUUUGUUUGUCUUCUUUGAUUCUAAAACCAUUCCGAAAAUAUAUUGUAAUAUCCUGUAAUAUUUGAUAAUAUGUUAAUAAAAAAAAAAAGAGUGAUACUUUAAUUUCUAUUGUAUUUGUAGGUAAGUGCCCGGUACAAUGGCUCUACAACUAUUCUAUAGUUUGCGUUUUAAAAUUUUUAUUUUCUUCUUAAGCCCUCCCUAAGGCUUAAGAGGCCCUGAGAAACACCCCUUUGUUCAAAUUCUGUCUGUAGUAUUUCCUUGCUUGUUGGGCACAGAGACCAUCGUUACAACAUGGUGUUUAUGACAGGAUCUUCAGAUUUAUUAUCUGUGUUUAUUUUUGUUAUUUUCAAUUUACUAGCUUUUAAGGAUUUUAGUUGCUUCCUGCACUAAACUGCUCCAUCUAUACGUAUCUAGUGUGUUAUUCAGACUCACUGGCUCGUAAGCCACUCUUAUAUCAUGCUUCUCUCUGUUUAGCUGUUGUUACCACGUAGUCUUUAGGUUAGGUUAGGUUAGGUUAGGAUACAUUUUUGAUCAUUACGUUUUAAAGGAGUUUUUAGCUCGUCAUACAUGCCCGGUCCAUUCAAGCCGUUUGACAUAGGAAUGUAAUACAUUUUUUGUAAGUAUAAGAUUAAUUGUACAGCUAAUUUGGACCUGCAUUUUGGAUUCUGAGUGGUGCGUAGAAGCCUAUGGAUUUACAAAGAUAUUUAUUCUAUUUUUAUCUGUAACAACUUUUUUACCAGAAAUCUUGCUCCGAUUUACAAUGAUUUUUUAAAAGGACAUCUGACCGGGGAGGUAUUUUGAAAAGGUUAUUUUUCGGUUUUCCCAAGAGUUUUUUCAGAAUAUUUGAAAACCGGGAAAAACGUAAGAAAAACCAAAAAAUCGGUUCAAUAUUGAACAAAUAUUAUGAAAGAAAAUAUAUGAUUUCUAUUUUAUUAAUAUAUCGUAAUACGACAAUAUAUUAUAUUGUUGACAAAGCAUCACUAUCAGAUGAACUCCGUUUAGAAUUGUUUUUUCGUUAGCAAUGGUUUAUCGUUGUUUAUAGAUAGACAUUACAUUUUCUUCUAUAUUCUACCUUCCCAACUUCCCAUCUAAAUUAGUGAAUGUACCCACAUGUGAAGUAUGCCCGUCUCUUUUCUCUUUUGAUAAUCGUCUAUAGUUGUGUUCCUUAUAGAUCCAUAAAGCACUUUUCUUUCAAACAUUUGUUAUUUUUCUGCACCGAUCUUUAGGGUUGAUAACGUUUUACAUGUAUUUUCUCGUAUAUAGUUAAUCAUAGUAUCAAUAAAGACCCGUAUAGUAACGUUUCUUUAGCAGUAAAUAGUAAAAUUAUAGUUUAUAAUAGUUAUACCCAGUUAUUAAUUAUAAUUCACUCGGUAUAUAAAUGUGUUGUUAAACAGGUUAUCUUAUCAGAAAAAUAUCUAAGCUCUCAUAAUAUUUCAGUGGGUUUGUACUCAUGCACGGUAUGUUAAUAUGUGACCGGGAAAAAGCACAAUGGUACAAACCACACUAGCGGUGGUACCGGUUGACGUUGAAAAGCACGCAUGUAAUAAUAUUAUAUAGGUACUCUUUUAUUAUUUUUCUCAUAUUUUUUUUUGAAUUUUAUUUCGACGUCGGAGCGACCACAAGAGGUUCCGGUGAAUCUAUUGUCAGAGAAAUCCCCCUCUCUUCUUCCACACAACUUCCACCAGUGUCUGAUAUAUCUACCGCCCCUUCACGUCGGGACGUAUAUUCAUGCGGUGCGGUUGUUUGCCCAUACCGCCUACGUGUCCAAUAAUAUGAUGCUGGAGGCGACGGUGUAGCUAUACGACGACGACGAGAAAAAAGAAAAGCUCGGCCGUCACCGAUGAAUGGGCACCGAUGGGUUCCCAUUUUUCAGUUUUACUCGACACGAUGAAAGAGAAAAGGGGAUGUACUGCGCGGAGACUAAUAAAUGUUACUUCUCUAUACCUAUUUAUACUUUCGUAUUAAAUAUUUUAUACUCUAAAUAUUUUUCACGAGGCAAGAGUUUGUAUCAAAAUUACUGGCAAGACUUACCUUGCCCGUAAAUCAAUCACUUUUUCUUGUUGUUAUAUUAUUAUUAAAAGUAUGAAAUGAGCUAAGCAUAUAAUAGUAUAAUAUGAUAAUAAGCCUAUAUCCGCUAUUAUUAUUGCUUUUAUUUAUUAUAUUAAUAGGAGCUAAAUUUAUGCGCGUUAUUGUCGCCAGAUUUUGACAACUAUUAUCACGCUAUUAUUUCCGUCAACUUUGUCUCGACAAUAUUUGAUUUUAUAAUAUUUGGUCACAUUAUAUUGUUGCUGUAUUCAAUGUCAAAAUAGAAGAGUGUGGAACAUGUAAAACAAAUAUUUAUCCGACAAUAGUAUAAAAUAACGACAAAAUUAGUAUUAGUACCAAUUAAUAUUUUAAUCACUAAUUACAAAUUAUUAUAUCUUAUGAAAAAUUUAAACAAAUUAAUGUAUUUUUCUUGUAAUGUUUUAUUUUGUAAAAACUGACGUCACCCUGAGUUCGUUUUGAAGAGGUUAUCGGGAAUAUAAUAAAACUGUAUAAAUUGGAUAUGAGAUAGUGGAAAAAUCGUACAUUGAAAGAAAGCCGAAGAUAGUUUUAUAUAGAUAAUAUGAUGUACAUUUAUAUAUAUAUAUAUAUAAAAUACUAAUAGAGAGAGUAAGAGAAAGACAGAGAGAGGAGGAACGAAAGUCUUUGCCCAGAGAGGAGUGAUUCGAUUAUCUGACACUAAUUAAUAUACUCAGCUCUUAAUAAUUGUUUCUUAACUAACUCUAUUCCGUUCUACGUUUGUAUAAUAUCAGACUAAUUUAAACGUGAUUGAAUACAAUUGUGUGCAGUUUAUUAUACAGGCCAAUGCGAUCACUCGAAAUCCGAUUUGGUUAUAAUAUAUUUUGCAUGGAAAAGACGACGACAUAAUUCUAGAGACGUUGUAUUACAAUAUUGUUCAUCAGUCUGUAUUUGGAUUAGAUUUUAAUAUUGAAUCACAAUAAAAUACAAUGCAAUUACAUAUUUAUAUUGUAUACCGGAGUAUCGAUUUCCUAGUAUAAUAAAUAAAUAAAUGAAUAAAUAAAUGAAUAAAAUAACCUUAGUAACAUAUUUAAUAUAUUAAAUUAAUCGUAAAUUACAGAAAUGAUAUUUCCGUAUUCUACGAAAAAAAUUCCUUUAUCGUUUAGAGUUUUAUAAAAUUUCAUAAAAAGACUGUAGAAACUUAAACAUUAGUUUUUAAUAUGCCAAUCGUUUUUUAAUUACUAUCUUUCUUAAAAAAUUAACAAUUUGAAGAUGUACUUUUUCUGAAUUUAUUGUUUCAGUAAAUCUUAUACAUAGAUGUUUUAAUCGUAGAGGUUUAUUUUUAUAUUUAGAGUAAAUAUUUUGUGGAUAUCUACCAUCUUCCAAAAAAUAUAAAUCUGGAUAUUUUUCACAUUUUAAAAAGCCGCUGUUAUGACUAACGACUUUGGUGAUGUAAUUUUAGUAUUAAUUUGACCUCGAGCAAUAUUGAAUUCGAAAAUACAUUGCCAAAUAAAAUCAUUAUUUAUUAUAUAACAGUUGCUUUUCUUCUCACCAAUUUUUUAAUUUUUAAAAAUUAUUUUCAACAUACCAAACUGGAGAAUAUUUUAAAGUGUUUUUUCUCUGUACAUCGCAUUUAUAAAACGUUUUAUUUAACUGAAAAUAAAAUCGCGCUUUUUUAUAAACAUAAUAUAUAAUACCGAGAAUCUAAAAAAGAUAAACUCGAAAAGCAUUUCGUUUUAAAAUCGUCAAAUCACAAAAGAAUAAUACAAACCGAGGACAUUUAAAAGAAUAUAAUAAAAUUUCAAAACCGAGUAAAUAGGGGUUAUCUUAUGAAUUCACCUACAUCCGUGGAACGUAGAACUAUGAAAAUUUAAAUGUUUUUAAACGCGAAUUACAGACAAAUAUUUGUUAUAUGAUAAUUUAAUGAUGAUCUCAUGUUUUUCCAUGCUUAUUAUUUUUAAUACCCUCAACAUCCGAUUACUAAAAAGUAUAUUUUUUAUUCCUAUUACAAUUUUCUUAUAGUCUGUUUCAAAUGCCAAUUAUUAUUCUAUGUCAAAUAGCGAGUAUACCGCAAAAUACGCCUGCAGACAUUAUAUUACCGUGUCAGAAUAGAAUAGCAGAAAGUAGGUUAAUUUGGCCGGCUCCGUAGUCUUAUAAAAUACAACGGAUUAGCAAAAUAUCUUGGACACAAUACAUAAUAUGUGCAAGAGAGAAAGACUAGUUAUAAUUGUCUUUUUUAGUGUGAUUAAAUAAAUAAUUAUAUAACACAUUUGGAAUAUAAGGAUAACAUGCGUACUCUUAUACAUAUUAUAAAUAACAAAUAUUUUUUCAAUAUUUUGCUGCUUUCUGCGAAAUUCUUGAACACUUUCAGCUCUUUGGAAUAAGUGACUCUCACAUCGUUGGUCUGCAUUUAAUUGGCCGAUGUGCCUUGUUCUGAUCUUCCUCUUGAUUGUGAUUUCUUCAAUUAUGAAUGUAUGGAAUUCGCCACCGUUCCCCUAGCAUGCAUCAUAUCGUCUAUUAUCUUUCCUUUUGAUUAAGUGUUUAUUAAUGUUCGUUUAUUUAACAUCCCCAUUUGUUCUUCAUUAAGCUCAUUGAAUUUCUGUAUCUUUUUUCCAACACCACACUUCUAGUCUUUUAUUGUUUGUUUAUUAUCCACGAUAACUAUUCUAGAGCCAAAUUGCAAUAAUCUGUGUUACUAAACCCUUCUUUGCGAUAUUCUCGUCACUACAAAUAGCCGUAUCGUCCGAAGGGGCACGGGAACAAGCAGUCGUGGCCAGAUGAGAAAAGUCCCUUAUCGACUAUUUUUUUAUUAUUAAAAUAAAAUAUAUACAGUGUUUAUUAUAAAUGUCACCAUUUAAAAUUUUAAAAUUGAUUCCAUUCAAAGUACAGUGUUGAUCGAUUUCAGAAAAAUGUGUGUAUAUUACGCGCUAAAUAUUUUUUAAAUAUUUCAAAAUAAUUACUCAAAACCCGAAGCUUAAUAUCGACAAAUAUAUUAAUAGUUUUAAUGAUGUAUCGUCAUACUGUAUUCUAUUUUGAUGGCAUCCCUGUGUUUGUAUAGUCGAUAUGCGUAUUGUCAACAACUUUUAUCUUCUCGUAACGUUCAAAAUACUCUCCUCGCCAUUUGAGAGACUCACAAGCCGCCACCGGACCAGCGAGCGAAUUUUCGAAUUCCUCGAUAACCGUAAUAAUAGUAAUAAUAUGCAUUAUGCAUGCCGCAAUACCGCCAGAGGUUCGCGCGUGAAAAACGACUGCCGCGGGCAUCUGUGGUAAUAUUUUAAAAAUCCCGCGGAAAACGGUCGGCCGGAGACGAAUCCAUUCAAUCAGCUAAGUGAAUAACGCAUUCCUUCAUCCUCCCCUAAAAACCCUCUCCCCUCUAUCACUCUCCUCGUAAUACGACCCCGUCGAUCGGCAUAGUUUUAUACUCGGCGUACAGUCCGCAGCGGAAUUAUUUCACGCGCCGUUUCAUUCGACGGCGACGAUGUAUAUAAUGUUUUUCCGCCGGCACCGGCACCGCGCUCGUGCUGCGGUCAAUUUCGCUGGUACUGCGGUUUCCACUAACUUGAUUAAAGGCAGUCGCACUAGUUUAUUGGCGAGUGUUCGUGUGGAAGUGAACAAGAAGAGGUUAGGCGGGUGGGGUGGAAAAGAGAGAGAAAACCGAAGCGCUGCGGAAAAAAAAAAAAAAUUAAUAAACGUCCUGUCCUUCGCCCGUUGACAUUCGCGCAGGUAAUAACGACUAUUAUAUACCGACGUGAAUACCUAUAUUAUUAUACGUACUCCAUCGCAAUAAUUGAAAUUAAACGAAUUGCGACACUUUUUCACGCGAGACGUUCGAUUCGUUUUGUACAAAUAAAUGUACGGCGUGUCAAGGUGGGCGGAUCUAAUUUCGCCCUAACGAAUUUUUUUCGGAAAAAAAAAAGAGAGAGUUUCGGUUUUCGUAAAUAAUAUAUUAUUCGUCAUAAACGAAAGAAACAUUUCGAUUACCACUGUCCGCGAGUGCGUUUGAUACGAGCCAUUUGAAACAAUGAAAUGCAUUCGGUUUUAAUUGGGAAUCUCCGGAUUCAAUAUUAAAUAAUUAUACACUGUCAUACGAAUCAUUUCACUAGCACUUUAAUAUAAAUUUCAAUACAAAAUCACCUACUAUCGUAGUACAGUUGAAUUUUAUUUUCUUUGAUUCAAUUAUUGUCUUAAAAGAUGCGAAAUUUAGCUCGACGUGACGAUACUUUAUUUGAAAAAAAUGGCCAUUCUCCAAUCGGUUUUUCUAUAGAAUUGUCGAUACGAUCGGUUUUAUUUUAUUUUUAUUACUCCACUCAGAAUCGUUUUUCUUAAUUGCAAUGAUUUAUUGUUGGUCUCGGUUUGGAAAUUAAAUUACUCUCUAUAACAUACGAAUUUUUCACAUACUACAGUGGCUCAAAUAUAUCAUAUGGCACGUCCGACUUUUUUUUUUUAUUUACUUGGAAUGUUUUACUCCGUAGAGCAAUGUGAGAUUUCGUCUCUCGGCUCAUAAAACUUCGAUACUAUAGUAUAAUAUGUUUUCGCGUUGUAAACAAAUGCUAAUAAAAAAAAGAAAAAAUCCCGAAUACGAAAAAAAAAAAAACAUUUUACGAGCGACAGCAGCAGCAGCACUGUAUAAACGUGCAUGUACACUAUGAACAUAAAUCCAAAUUGCGUUUAUUCAAUUAUUGUAUGUGUUCGGUUUCACAGUAUCCGAUUUUCAAUUUAAUCAAAAGUGCCGGGCGAAUAUACCUAUUGUAUUCUAAUUAAUAUUUAAACAACGGUCUUCGCGAGUGGUAUAGCAGAGCAACACAAAACCAAAUCUCGGAUAAAUAAAAUAAUAAUAAUUGUAAAUUCACGAACGGGGGCAGAAGCUCUCGGGAUUUUAAUCGGUAUUGCCGUUUUGCGCGGGACACGCCGUGUAAUUAUUAUACGCUUCGUAGUCGGAUAUUAUCGUCGUUUUUGUUCAAAGUGCUCUUCUAUCUCGCCGUCCGUUACGAUUAUCGUAAAACAAUUAUUAUUAAUUCGACUGAAGUGUUUCCGCGGCUUUUAAUCCCACGGGGCAUCUCGUUCGGUCUGGAUUUACGGAGACUGUACCAACAGAGAAACUGGUGAAAAAGUCACGUCUCGCGUACUUAUGCGUGCGUACCAAAUUUCGCGAUACACGGUGCUUGUUUUUAAAUUGUUACAAUAUAGUGCAGUGGGUUUUACUGGAUGUGUGUUUUUUCUCUUAUUCGGUUAAUAAAAAUGAUGUGAUUGUUUCCACGCGGUAGAAUUACAACCCGGUGUAACUAUUUAUGUGACCAGUUUUUCUAAAUUUCCGAUAGUUUUUCUAAAACACUAAAAAAAUAUCUACAAUAAAUGACAAAGGUACAUUAGUUUUAUUGUUGUUGAUUUCUAGGUUAUUUUGGUAAUACACGGGGAAAACAUUUGUGACUAAUACUAUAAUGGUUUUUCAAUACAACCUUACCAGACUAUUGAGCUCUGUUGAGAAUUGUUUAACGUUUCCAAUGUUUUAUCGUUGCUCUAGGUAUAAUAUAUAACUUAAUUUACCCUAAAUCCCAUAUAACUUUCAAAAAUCCAUCCUGGAGCCUAUACACAGUGUAAAGUUAUGUCUGAAUUUUUCAAACAUUAAUUAAAUUAUUCUCUUUUUUUUAAAUUUAAAGAUACGAAACUUCCACAAAUUAUAACAAAUUCCAAACAAAUUGUCUAAUAUCAUUCACAUGCCACAUAAAAAUGCGUCUAAUUACUUUUUUGUGGUGAUUCGUUCCAGGACCUUUACUUUAUUCGAACUCGCACUUUGCGAGUUCCCAAUAAAUACAUCCAGAAGGUAUGUUGUAAAGUCCUUAUAAAGUCACUGAGAUUCGUUCUUCUUAUUUCGUGUGAAUUCUGCAUGGGUAUUAAAAACCUUCACGGUAUUCUCGUUCUCUCAAUACUAGAGUAUGACAUGAUGCUUUGGCCUCCAUUUUCUUCACUUUAUUGACCGUGUCUAAAAGAAAUGUCUUCAGUCUGUUACAUUCACUAAUAAUAUCCAGUAAAAUCCUCGAUUACACCAGUGUGCAGUAUCCGUCAUGUUUGUGCUAUACUUGAUUCGCCUGCCAACUAUAAAUAAAUGUCGCCUCAUAAAUGUCCUCACCAAUAUUACCAUGGAACUAUGAUCGCAGAAAAACGCAUUUGCGUGUAUUAUAUAGGAAAGCUGCAUCCGUAUUUAACACAUUUAAUCGCAUUUUCCAAAAAAAAAUUACCUUCUAAUAAAUUAGCGUUUUGCAAUUUUAUCUUUCUUUAACGUUUUUUCCAUUAUAUUUUAUUUUUCAGUCUUUGAUUUCAAGAGUAUAUCAUUUUCCGAAAAAAUGACAUUUCUGAUUAUUAUUUUCCGGGGUUUUGGUUUCUGAAACGUUAGAGCUUUCGUAUUUUAUUUUCAAACUAACUGUGCACUCAUGCAACCGUCGUCAUCGUCGUGAGUUUUAACGCUGCCAGCGUCGAGAGAAACUGCGUUAUUAUUAUACACGCGACCGGGCUGACGGGCCGCCGCCGCUUCACGCAUCACCAGUUGCUUAGCUAAUUAUCAUGAUUAUUAUUAUUACUGCCCUCUAUCGGAAACGACGGCGCCUCCGUCCGUCAAACGCUCGGUCGAAUACGGUUUGUCGCUCUCGCCAACGUCCGUUCCCCUAUCGGAUUUCCGGACGACCACCUUCGGGCAAACGGAUCGGAGGCACGACUACGGUUGCGACGACAAUUUCACAACCGUAUAACCGCGUAGGAAAACCACGUCUGUGGGUUGUACAUAAUUGGUACCGGUAUACGACGACCAUCACCAUUCUCAGGACUGUCCAAGGCUGAUACCCACCGAACGUCCAGAUUUUCGCUUUUUUAAUUUUUAUUACUAAGUAAAGGUGAACUAAUAAUAAGCAUUUCAAUGACUCCACCUAUUCCGUUAUGAAAAACUGUCCGAGUACAUUUAUUGUACUUAACGUUUCCAUCUACCAAAUUCCCUAAAUGACUUGUAUGUUAUUUACUUGUUAUUUCCCUCCCCCCCCCGGGGGGCACCAACGUGCGGAUGUUAGUUAUUCACGACUGUACUGUAAGAUCAUCUAUAUGAGGACCUUGCCGAAAAGCGCCACAUAUAAGGACGACUUUAAGACGUGAAAAGUAUGAUCGUGUUGAGACCCGAAGAGAUUUUCGCUAUGUCGGUAACGUUAUUUUACAUUCUGAGCGAAGCGAGGAAUGCGAUUUAUUAUUUUUAAUGUUUAAAAUGUUUGCAAGAUUAUGUGAGGUACGCAAUAUGCAGCAGGACAAAAUCCAACGGUUUUAAAAACAAAGACACUAAGUCCCUCUAAAUAUUUUGCUUUUGCUUGAAAAGUCUCUAUUUUUUAAAUUAAUUAUCUCAAUUAAAUAUUAUAAAUUGUAUCUAUCGUUUAAAUUGAUUUUUAAAUGUUUUUUUUCUUUUCGUAUGAUAAUAAAGUUAGGGUAUAAACAUAUUGUUAUCAGUCGGCGUAAUAAUAAUGUAACUUGUCAGACUGACGGCAUAUCAUUAAAGAUGCCUUUAAUGAUAGAAAUAUAGAUGCGUUUAACGUUUUGUAAUAAUAAUAUGGUUAAUACUAUUUAUACCCUUAAAAAGCUGAAGCUUCUAUUAGGUCACAUGUAUUUCAAAAAUCAUUUUAAAUAAUAUCACCAAAAUUGACCAAUGGCCAAUUUUCAAAUUAAAUUAAGCAUUUAUGAAAAAAAUAAUUUUAUAAAACAACUCUUAUAGUUGUGUAGUUUUUCGAUUCGAGUUAAUUUCUAAGCCGAAACAAUUGAAAGAAAUGCCCCUAAUAAUGACCACUUAUAAUUUAUUGCGUUUGCAGCCAAUCGAAAAACGCACAAAGGCUAAAAUGUCAAAUUUACCGACAAUAUUAUUUUUGUACGCUGUAAAGUACCCUUUAAGUUUACAGCAAUAAUUUACCGCGAUAUUUUAUCGAAAAUGCCGUUUUCGUAUCGUAAAGGAAAUCGCUAAACAUUGUGUUCGCGUGUAGACGACGGAUUAAGUGAUCGCCAUCGCCACUUUUUUUUCGACCGUUUUUCAUGUAACGCUCCUUUCGCUUUUAUACGGCACCUUUUUUUUUCCGAACAAUCCGCCAAACACCCUCAAUGUUAAGGAUAUGCGCGUUGAAGUUUUUCUAUUUUUUUUUUUUUUUAUUUGGAAAAUAUUUAUACGCAAGUAGUUGUUUUACUGUCUUUAAAAAUUGCAUUUUUUGAGAAAAAAAUGUAAAUAAAGUGACGUAUUUGUAAUAUAUUUUAUUAUUAUUCCUCGCACUCUACUGAGAAUCCUAAAAAUAAAUUACAAUAUAUUAUAAUAGUUGAAAGCAGUACAAAAAGAACGGUUCUCGAAUAUAAAUAUUUAUCCAAACUUAAGCCUGACUUAAACCUAACCUUAUUCAACCUGAUCUUAAUAUCCUUUUUGUACUAUUUUUGAAGAAAACUACAAAAAUGACGCAUAUUUAUUAGUCAUUUAGUAUAUUAUUAGAUAUUUUAAAAUUAACUCAACAAAAGUAAUACCCAUUGAUUAUGUUCUCUUAAUAGUAUUUAAUUCAAUAACACGUACUCUUAUACAAAAAUAAACAUAUUAAUAAAUACAAAUUUAUUUUUUUCAGAUUCUAAAACAGCAUUACUGAAAAGGCAAAAUAUUCAAUCUAUUUCUGUCAAGGUAAGUGUUUUUUCUUAUUAUAAGUUUUUUGAUUUUGUUAAGUGAAUAUCAUUGUGAGCAUUGUUGUUUACCAUAAACCUUGUUUUAUCACGAAAUAAGUACGUAAUAAGCGUAAAGUAGCUUAUAAAAA